rnacentral:lncRNA from 1 species
AACAAAGACAACAACAGUGUAGAAGUUGCACACUUCCAUGGCUUACAAGAAGCAUUGGACGAAACUCACUAUGGGGAAACACCAGACUACCUCAAACUCACUAAGUUUGGCCAUAAAAAUAUUGAAGUUCUGGUUUGUGCCGCAAUCAAACAGAUGGAAGACUGGCGUACACCUAAGGAUUCCGGCUGUAACCAGUUGAAAAAGUGGGCCGCGACGCUCAAUAUGGGUAAGGAACAGGAUUUUGAAGUGAAAUUUGCUGAUGACAUGUUGAAUAAUAUUUGUCUUGCCUGUUAUGCUUACUCAAUGAUUUAUGGAGAGGAUGGUUCAGUUCAUAAGGUUGCGAGUGGAAGGGUGUGAUGCUCAUAUGGUAUUUGGUAUUUAAACUCGGUGAAUGGUUUGGAUAUUUCAACUCGGUGAAUUAGUAUGGUUAUUUUUCUAUAUUUGGUUUUAGUCUUUGAACUCAGUAAAUCGUUUUAGUAUUUGGUAUUUGAACUCAUAUGUUUUGAUAUUUGGUAUUUUGAACUCAGUUAAAGAACUUGGGGUUUUUAUGGUUAUAUUUCUAUAAUUGGUUUUAUUAUAAGAACUUAGUGAAUGGUUUCGGUAUUCGAAUUCAGUGAGUUUAUAUUGUGUCAGGAAUGUUGUCUUCUAUAUGAAUUUUUGAUGAAUUGGUAUGUUUUAUGUUUGUGUUAUUUCCUUUAUCUGGUUUAGGUUAGAAAAUUUGAAUGGUUGAUUAUAAAAUUUAUCAUGUCCAAGUAUUGAUAGCAUGUUUGAUCUUGGAUUGUAACAUUUGCGUUCUGGCUUUGAUGCUCGUCACCCCACAAUGGGUAAAUAUUUUGUCACAUAAUUUAUGGUGCAGGUGAAGUGUUCAACAAAAUAACAGAAAUUUUAAGUAUAGAGAGUACCAUAAUGCAAUUCAUGGUAUUUGCAUUACAUAAUAUGGAGAGACUUUUGGGGUAAUUGAUAGCUCUAAAAUAUAGCUAAUUCCCCACAUAUGCACUAACAAUUUCUUUCCUCAGCUCAUUGGAUUUUUCUGUCAUUAACCCCAUGGCUCAGUUCCAAUUUCUCAGCUAAUUUCCAUCCUAGUUUCAACUAACUCCUAAACCUCUAUUGCUAUUUGGGGUAAAUGUAUAUCGGUGAUCUUUACUCGAAAAAUGAAUAAAUUAGUCAUUUUUAUAAAAAAAAUUAUUCAUUUCUAUUCUUAAAAACUAACAUAACAGAUGGAAUAAUCACACAAUUACACAUGGCGUGCCAAGUGUACCUCAUACUAACGUAUAAUGACUAAUUUUUAACAAUAAAAAAUGAAUGAAUUUUUUAACAAAAUGACUAAUUUACUCUUUGAUCUAACGUAUAUUGAUUAAUUUACUCAUUUUUUUAGUAAAUGAGACAAAAUACAAUCUAACUCCUAAUACAAAGACCUUCGUCAGAGGUGUAGCCAGAGGACUGUCAGGCUCAGCUUCCCUUCAAAUAGAAAAUUUUUCAUUUAUAUCUUUUAAAUUUUUUAAAAUUUUAAAUUAGUAAAGAUAAAAAUGCACUUUAGUCCUCCUAAAAAUGAUAAAAAUUUGAUAGGCUAUUCAAAUAGUAAAAUUAUUUUUUUACUAUCAUAAAAAUUAAAUUUUAAUUUCAGCCCCUUAACAAAAUUUUUUGCCUUCAACCCUAAUACUUUUACUCUAUUUGAUGUAUUUUUCUUCAACUCAUUUUCACCAUAAAUCCAUAACAAUAUCCUUGUCUCCAAAGAUUGAAGUCUGAAAAUUGAGAUUUUUUAUAAUAUAAUUUAGGUCUUUUAAAGCUUUUAAAAUUUUAAAUUAGUAUAAGUGAAAUUGUACUUUGAUCUCCCCUAAAAAUAAUAACAUUUUAUUUAAUCUUUUAAAAAAUUAUAAAAAUAUAAAUUAUUUAAAGAAUAAAAUUAUAUUUUUUCUAUCAUAAAAAUUAUAAUUUAAUUUCUAUCUUUAAAAGAAUUUCUGACUUGAUCCCUAUUUUCAAUUACGUAUUCAACCACACUACCAAAAGUUGAGUUUACUGCCUGAUUGUUGUUCUUUAAUAUUCGUUUGUCUUGUACGUAAGAAUGAUAAGCAAAUGGUUGCCAAUCAUUUCUCAACCCUGUGACCAUUACUAGAGGUGCUCAUGGGCCGGGCGGCCCGGCUUGGCCCGACGGCCCGCCCGAAAUAUGGUAGGGUUUAGGUAAAAAUAUAGGCCCGAAAUAUGGGCUUGGGCAAAAAAACGAGGCCCGUUUGGAAAACGGGCCGAGCCUCGGGCACAACUUUUUAGGCCCGGGGCCGGCCUGGUCCGGCCCGAUAUAAUAAAUAUAUUUAUUUUUAAAAUUUUUUUUAAUUUUAAAAUUUUUAAAAUUUUUUUAAUUUUAAAAUUUUUUAAUUAUAUAUUUAAUUUUUAAAAUUUUAAAAUAAUUUUUUAGUAUUUUAUUAAAAAAUGGGCCGGGCCGGGCUUAUAAUUUUCUCAAGUCGGGCCUGGGCAAAAUUUUAGGCUCAUAUUUCGAGCUGGGCCCGGGCCUAGGAAUCGGGCUAAAAUUUUUUGUGGGCCCGGCCCAUGAACACCUCUACACAAGACUAACAUGAAACAAUGGAUGAAAGCUGGAAGUUGGACAGAGCAAUUGGUUUAAUGAGUUUUUUUUUUCUUGAACCGAUUUAAUUAACUUUAAAAUGAAAAAAAAAUCAGUUCCUUGUUUUUAAUUAAAAAAAUUACCAAACUGAACUGAUAUUGAAUUAGUCGGUUUUUCCAGUUAAUCAAUCCAAAUUUUUUGAGUUGAGUUUAGUGUUUAUACAGUAAUAUAUUUAAAAACUAAAUAUAUUUUAAAUAUCGAACGACAAACCAAUUAAAUCGAGAUUGAAACCAAUCAACCCGCUCCACCCCACUAAAUUGAAACCGAAAUAAUCGAUUAAUUUUUUUUAUUAAGCCAACUUAACCCGUCAUAAUAUACAAAUUUCGACUCAACUGAAUUAGAGUUAAAGAAUCGAUAUAACCGAAUCAAAUUUAAAUUGAUCAGUUCAGUCGGUUAAUCAACUUAACUUACCAUAAUAUAAAUAUAUUAAAAAUACAUCGUGAAUGUGAAAAUGUAUUUAGUUUUUCAGUGCUUAAAUAAAAUUUUUAAAAUUUUUUUUAGAUUUUUUUUUCUAACAUAAAUGUUUUUAUCAAAAUUGGUUUUAAUUUUUUAAAUUUGGAAGUUUAAUCGAAUUUUUUUAAAUGGUUAACAUUUUUUAAAAUCAAAGCUAUGUUAGAUUUGAACUAAACAUUCUUAUUUUUAUUCGAGAAAUUAUUUUAUGAACUUUUUUCAUCACAUCAUUCAUGGUUCCAUUCAAUUAAAAGAGGACACAUCAUUCUUUUUUCCAUAUCAUAUGUACAUUUGGACUAAACUAGUAGUUAUCCAACUAUAACUUUGUAAAAUUUAUGUUAUUAGUCCUUGUACUUUGUAAAAAUUAUGACUUUAGUCUCUAUGCUUUAAUUUCAUCAAUUUUAAUUCUUGAUUUUUCAAAUGGGUUAGCCCCGUGCUUUUUGAAUUUUGAAAUUAAGUAAACUACACUAAUAGUUAUCCAACUAUUAGUGGUUUUUUUUUUGUCAGACAACUAUAAAAAGUUACAAUAUUGUUAUCUGACUAUUAGUAAGUUUCUUUUUUAUCACAUAAUUAUAAAAAUUUACAAAAUGGUCAUUCACCUAUUCAAUUUUAUCUUUUUUGGUGAUAAUGUUUAAAAUUGACAUAAUAGCAAUUUUAACUCUCAAGAUUUAUACAUUGUGUCAAUUUAGUCUUGAUUUUGAAAAAUCUCACAUUCAACAUUUACUCAUUGUGUAAUUUAGUUAUUUUAUUUUAUUUUAUUUUAUGUAGUUUUGUUGUUCUUUGUAACCCUUUCACCUAAAAAGUUAAAAAAACAAAUUUAUUAACUAAAUAUGUUUGAAAAUAUACAAAAAUAGAAACACCCAAAAGUCUAAGACAAUAAUUUUCAUCUUUUCUCGUACUUUUAAAAUUAAUCUUCAAUAUCACAAAAAAAAAUAACUAUUAUAAAAGGAUAAAAUUGCACAAUGAGUAAACGUUGAGCGUUAAAAUUUUUAAAAGCAAGACUAAAUUGACUUAAUUUAUAAAUGUUAAGAGCUAAAAUUGUCAUGUCAAUUUUAAAAGAUGUCACUGUUAGCUCGCUAGUGAUUAAAAAAGAAAUUUACUAAUAGUUGGGUAAUCAUUAUGCAACUUUUCAUAAUUGAGUGACUAAAAAAGAAAUUUAGUAAUAAUUGGAUAACUAUGAGUGUAAUUUACUCUACUUUAAUUUGAUCAGGUUAGUCCCUAAAAUUUUCAAUUGAUCAAUUUUAAUCUCGGUACUUUUUGAAAUUUGAAAUUUGGGUAAACUACUUUAGUAAUCACCCAACUAUGGUUUUUCUUUUCCCUUUUUUGUCACUCAACUAUGAAAAGUUACAAAAUGAUUACUCAAUUAUUAAAUUUUAUCUUUUUUGUCACCCAGACAUAUUGUAUUUUUGGGUGUUUCUAUUUUUACGUUAGCUAACUGGUAAUGAUGUAAUUGAGCUGAGUCCAAAUACUGUCAAGCUCAACUUGAAAUUCGGAGCUCGAUACACGGCUCAAGCUUGAUUGAACAUCUAUUUUUAAGCUUAAGCUCCGCUUAAGAUAUAAUCGAGCUUCUUGAGCUCGAGCUUGAUUACCAGUUUUCGUACUCAUGCUUGAGCUCGAACUUGAGAUCUGUUCAAUAAUUAAGCUUAAGGUUAAUAAUAUAUAUUAAGGGAAAUAAUAUAUACAUAAUUUAAUAAUAUAAAAAAAUAAAAAGUUCAAUAAGGCUCACGAGUCAUUUGAGUAAAGUAUUAUUAAGCUGAAAUUCUGUUUGAUCAAUAGCUUGAGCUGUUCGAAAAUUACCAAAUCGAGUUUGAAUUUUUUUUGAGUCGAACUCAAGUAGCUUGCUAAUACCAGUUUCUCGUUUACACCCCUACUAACUAGUGACCAAAAAGAUAAAAUUUAAUUGUUGAACGAUUAUUUUGUAACUUUUUAUAGUUGAGCGACCAAAAAUAAAUUACUAAUAGUUAGUUGACAAUUUUAUAAUUUUUCAUAGUUGAGGUAACUAAAAAAGAAAAAAACCAAAAUUGGGUCAACUCUACGUAGUUUAUCCUUAAAAUUUUAAUACCACCAAACAGUAGCUUAAUUGCUUAAAUCGUCUGGUUAAAUUUAUUUCAGUUAUUUAAACUGGUUAAGCCACACUCAUUCUCACUCUAGCAAGCUUGAGUAUUUGUCGAUGAAAACCAGCUAGAGUUUUUUUUUUCUUUCUCUUUAUAAUGAACUCACACCACAAAUGAUGCCUUCAUUUCUUCCGGUUUAACGCUUCGAUACAGGCCGCGCUUCUCUUCUGUUCUCUUCUUGUGAGUUCAUGAUCAUAUCUUACUUUGAUUUUGCAUAUAUAUAUAUAUAUAUAUAUACAGGUUUCCUUUAAUAACGCUGGUUUCUUUUUCUUUAGUUACACGAGGAAAUUUUCGUUUUCAUCUAGUUUUGUAAGUUCCAUAUACGCGUUGACUUUCUCGGUUUUUUACUAUUUUUGUUCUGAGUUCGGAAAACUCUUCAGUGUUUUCUUGAUAGGUUUCAGCUCAAUAAUUUCUUUUGAUCUGAGUUUGAUCUGAGUUCUGUGAUAGUGAGUGCUACUGCAUUACUAGUUCAUGAUUUUACCUUAAUUCUGGUUUCUUUUAAAUUACUUGAGCAAAUUUUCAUUUCAUUUUUUUUUGUCAGUUUUAAAUCUGUUGUUUGAAUAUUUCAAAUAUUUUUUUAGAUUUCUUUUUCAGCAUAAAUGUUUUUAUCUAUUAUUUUUAAAAAUUGGUUUUAAUUUUUUAAAUUUGGGAGUUUAAUCGAUUUUUUUAAAAUGGUUAACAUUUGUCAAAAUCAAAGCUAUAUUAAAUUUGAACUAAACAUUAUUUUUUAUCUAUAUUACCUAUCUAAAACUUAAAAACAAAUGAGGCCAUUCUUUUCUUCGAGAUAUUAUUUUACAAACAUUUUUAACCAAAUCAUUUAUGGUCCCGUCCAAUUAAAAAAGGACAUAUCAUUUUCUUUUCCACAUCAUUUGUACAUCUGGACUAACUAGUAGUUAUCCAAUUAUGACUUUGUAAAAGCUCUGUUAUUAGUCCUUGUACUUUGUAAACAUUAUGAUUUAGUUUCUAUGCUUUAAUUUCAUCAAUUUUAGUUCUCGACUUUUCAAAUGGGUUAGUCCUGUGUUUUUUGAAUUUUGAAAUUAGGUAAACUACACUAGUAGUUAUCCAACUAUUAGUAGUUCUUUUUUGUAGGACAACUAUAAAAACUUACAACAUUGUCACCCGACUAUUAGUAAAUUUCGUUUUUUGAUCACCUAAUUAUGAAAAUUUACAAAAUGGUCAUUCACCUAUUCAAUUUUAUCUUUUUUGGUUACAACGUUUAAAAUUGACAUAAUAGCAAUUUUAACUCUCAAUAUUUAUACAUCGUGUCAAUUUAGUCUUGGUUUUGAAAAAUCUCACAUUCAACGUUUAUUCAUUGUGUAAUUUAGUUUUUUUUAUGUAAUUUUGUUGUUCUUUAUAAACCUUUCACCUAAAUUUUUUUUAAAAAAAUUUAUCAACUAAAUAUGUUUGAAAAUAUACAAAAAUAAAAACACCCAAAAUUUAAAAAUAAUAAUUUUUACCUUUUCUCGUACUUCUAAAAUUAACUAUAAAUCGUACUCUACAUAUUAUGUAAUGCAAAUACCAUGAAUUGCAUUAUGAAUAAUGAAAUUCUAGAAAUCGCACUCUCUAUACCUAAAAUUUUUUCAUUUUGUUGAACAAUUCACCUACACUAUAAAUUCUAUGACAAAAUAUUGACCCAUUGUGCAGGAAAGCAAAUGUUACAAUCCAAGAUCAAACAUGCUAUCCAUGCCCAAUGGAAAUGAAAAAUUUUAUAACCAACCAUUCAAAUUUUCUAACCUAAACCAGAUAAAAGAAAUAACACAAACAUAAAACAUAUCAAUUCAUUAAAAUUCAUAUAAAAGACCAAAUACUAAAAUAUAACCAUAAAAACCCCAAGUUCUUUAACUGAUUUCAAAAUACCAAAUAUCAACACAUAUGAGUUCAAAUACCAAAUACUAAAACGAUUUACUGAGUUCAAAGGCUAAAGCUAAAUAUAGAAAAAUAAUUAUACAAAUUCACGAGUUGAAAUACCCAAUCCAUUCACUGAGUUUAAAUACCAAAUACCAUAUGAGCAUCACACCCUUCCACUCGCAACCUUAUGAACUCAACCAUCCUCUCCAUAAAUCAUUGAGUAAGCAAAACAGGCAAGACAAAUAUUAUUCAACAUGUCAUCAGCAAAUUUCACUUCAAAAUCCUGUUCCUUACCCAUAUUGAGCGUCGCGGCCCACUUUUUCAACUGGUUACAGCCGGAAUCCUUAGGUGUACGCCAGUCUUCCAUCUCUUUGAUUGCGGCACAAACCAGAACUUCAAUAUUUUUAUGGCCAAACUUAGUAGCUUUUCCACGAUCCAAUUCGAUUAGGGUCGCAAUACGUUUGAGGUAGUCUGGUGUUUCCCCAUAGCGAGUUUCGUCCAAUGCUUCUUGUAAGCCAUGGAAGUGUGCAACUUCCACACUGUUGUUGUCUUUGUUAAAAAGUCCGGAUUGCCAGGAACUAUAAUAACACAACAUCUCCCUAGCCAGCAAACUUCCGCGGUCUUGACCAACAGGAAUAGUAACAUCAUUCAUUUCAGUACAUUGUCCUCUGACUUCAUGAUCAUUAGUUGCAGCAAUUUCUUUCAUACAUGGCACCGCAUAAUAAAGCUAAAACAACAAACAUGAAAGACAAGUCAAAUUUUGAGAAAUACAAUAAUAUUAGUGCUAUCUUUUCACUAUUUUUGAAAUUUAAGUUUUCAAAUGCUAUUUGGUUGAAUUGUUACUGUUCACUACCUAUCAUAUAUACACAUAUACCAUAUCUUGUUUUUUAGAGUUCAUGAAAAAAAAAAACCUGAGAUAUACAAAUAUAGAACAAAUUAAUCAAGAAAGAUAUGAAUUUUUUUUCUUUCUAAGUAUAUACCAAGUGUAUAGCUUCAACCAUAUAUAGUAUCUUCAAAGCUUAGAAAAUAACACUGUACAUGUCGUUUUUAAUGCAAAUGACCAUGGGAGAGAAUACAAAACAUUAUAUUUUCUGGUCCGAUCAUAUUGAAAUUUAUGUUAUUCAAACUCUUCAUUUUGCUUGAAAGAUUAGUGGUCGAUACAUGUUUGAACAUUGGUUCAGAAUAAGACUUUUGAGAUUUCUUGUAAUAUAUGAAAAUUUUAGAAAAAUAAUUAAACAAAUCAAAGUUAGAUGUGAUCCCAAAUGCAACACUCGAACCUAAAUAAUGACUUUUUAUUAGGUCUACAAAAGAAAUGUAAUGUAUGAGGAAAGACAUUAUAUUGUGAUGAGAUUUAUAAAUGAGUAAUGUAUCGGCACAAUUUUGAAUAUAAUUACAUGAGAAAAAUUAAAAAAAAAUUAACAUACCUAUAUUGAACUGUAGGAAAUUGAACAAUAUUUGGAGAAAUAAAACAAAGAAAAUGAUAAAGAAUAUAAUAAAAAGAGAAAUAAUUUUUGUAUAUGGAAGAAAUAAAAUUCCUUCUAAUAAACUUUUUAUUUCAAUCACUCUACAAAAAUUCUUCAUCACAUACAACUCUUUAUAUAGGAGUUGUAAGUGACUAUUCAUCUAUAUCACUAAAUGCUAGGAGUUGUGACUAUUCAUUUACAUAACUUAAAUACUAUAAGAGUUAUGACUAUCCAUGCAUGUGUGUAACUUUUCAUAUUCAAGUCUCUUCACUCUUCAUAAUGUGUGUAACUUUUCAUCUUCAAGUCUCUUCACUCUUCAUAUUCAAGUCUCUUCACUCUUCUAACUUUUCAUAAUUUAUUUGUACAAGAUUAAUUUAAUUAUGUGCCAACAAUGCCUCCCUUAAAUUAAACUUGCUUCGAACUCCCAACCUUUCAACAUUUUUCUUGAAGACUUGUCCACUAAGCGGCUUUGUGAAGAUAUCAACCAUCUGAUCUUCUGUCUUGCAAUAUUCAACUUGAAUAUCACCAUUAUUCACUAGUUCCCUCAAGAAGUGAUACCGAAUGCGAAUGUGUUUUGUCCUUCUAUGAAGAACUGGAUCUUUUGUGACCGAAAUAGUAGAACUAUUGUCACAAAACAAAAUCGUUGACUUGCUCUGCUUCUGCUUAAGACUCUCCAAAAUUCCACGUAACCAAAUCAAUUGACAUCCUGCAUAAGAUGCAGCGAUAUAUUCAGCUUCUAUAGUCGAAAGCGCCACAACUGAUUGUUUCUUUGAACUCCAUGAAACUGCACCACUACCAAGGUGAUAAACAUAACCAGAAGUGCUUCUUCUAUCAUCAAUGCUUCCUGCUAAAUCACUAUCCGUAUAACCAAUGAGAUUAACUAAUGUAUUAGCUUUAUAGAAAAUUCCAUAAUCAAUGGUUCCCUUCACAUAUCUCAAUAUUCUCUUGGCAGCCUCCUAGUGAUUGGAGUAAGGUUUCUCUAUGAAUUUACUCACCAAGCUAACAGCAGACACGAUGUCAGGCCUUGUCGAAGUCAGAUACAUCAACUUCCCAACCAAACUUCUGAAUAUGGUGGAAUUGAUAAGCUUUCCUUCACCCUCUUUAGAUAACUUCAGACCUAUAAUGCAUGGAGUAGACACUGGAUUCGCAUUUUCCAUCAUGAACUUUUUAGAACUUCCUUUGCGUAGCUCUCUUGUGAGAUAAAAAUUCAUUUCUCGGAUUGAUGAACUUCAAUGCCUAGAAAAUGAUGAAGUUCUCCCAAAUCUGUCAUCUUAAAUUCUGCCAUCAUUGAGUGUCGAAAUUCUUUCAACAUCUUCACAUGAUUUCCUGUGAAAAUAAGAUCAUCAACGUAGAGACUUACAACCAUGAAUCUUCCUUGAGAAUUUCCUUUGAUGUAGAGAGUAUGCUCAUAUGCAGAUUUCUGGAAUCCACACUUUUGAAAAUAAGAAUCGAUGCGGCUGUACCAAGCUCGGGGUGAUUGCUUCAACCCGUACAAAGCUUUCUUCAACUUGUAAACUUUUUUUUCUUCUCCUUUUUUGACAAACCCUGGUGGUUGAUCAACAUAGACUUCUUCUUUGAGAACACCAUUCAAAAACGCAGAUUUUACGUCCAUUUGGAACAUUUUCCAAUUGUUUUGGGCAGGAAGAGAAAUAAGUAACUGAACUGUCUCAAGUCUUGAAACUGGAGCAAAUACAUCUGUAAAAUCUUCCCCUUCCUUUUGCUUGUAUCCUUUUGCAACCAGUCUUGCCUUGUACUUGUUGAUAGAGCCAUUCAGAUUCAUCUUUGUCUUGUACACCCAUUUGACUCCAAUUGAAUUCUUGUGCGGCGGUAAAUCUGUGAGUUCCCGUGUAUCAUUGUUUUCAAUUGAGCAAAUCUCUUCUUUCAUGGCUUUCCUUCAUAUUUCUUCUUGAUAUGCACCAUCAAAAGAAAUUGGAUCUUCUCUUACAAAGAAAGCAAAGAAUACAUCAUUUUGCACAACUUCAUCCGUUACAUCAUAUAACUCUUGGAUGAAGAAGAAUUUGAUGAAGAACUUGAGGAAGCAGGAGGAUUUCCUACUUGAGCAUCAUCUUCAGCAUUCUCAAUUACUUCCUCUUCUUCUUCUUCAAGUUUAAAAGGAAAAAUUGGCAAAUUUUCCUUUUCAACUUCCAUAUCUUCAAACAUGGAAUUUUCAUCAAACUGAACAUCUCGGCUUAUCACAAUCUUCUUUGUCACCGGAUUGUACAACUUGUAUGCCUUACUUCUUUCACUAUAGCCAAUGAAAAUGCAUUUCUCUGACUUGUCAUCCAACUUGCUUCUCAUUGCAUCUGGAAUAUGAGAGUAAGCAACACUCCCAAAUACUCUAAGAUGACUAACACUAGGCUUUAUACCAUACCACGCCUCAUGUGGUGUGCAAUUCUCCAAGCUUCUUGUCGGUGAUCUGUUUAUAAGAUAAACUGCACAGGAAACAGCUUCAGCCUAAAAUCUUCUUGAUAACCUCUUCUUCUUAAGAAGACACCUAGCCAUUUCUAUAAUUGUUCUGUUCUUGCUUUCACACACACCAUUUUGCUGAGGUGUGUGGCGGACUGUCAUUUCAUGCCGGAUGCCACUAUCUCGGCAAUAUUUCUCAAAUUCUUUUGAAAAAUAUUCACCUCCACGAUCUGUCCGUAAGGUGUUAAUUUUCAGCCCAGUAAAGUUCUCCACUUCUGCCUUGAAAUCUUUGAAUCUCUGAAAAGCCUCUGAUUUUUCUUUGACACAAUACACCCAUAACUUUCUUGAGUAAUCAUCAAUGAAAGAGAUAAAGUAACGAUUACCUCCCAAAGAUGAAACUGUCAUUGGACCACAAAGAUCCGAGUGAAUAAGUUGCAAUGGUCUUCUUGCUUUCCACGAGGAUUGAGAAGGAAAAGCAAUUUUGUGUUGUAUUCCAAGUUGACAUGCUUCACAAACAUUAUCAAGCCGAUCGAUUUUUGGUAAACCUCUGACCAUCAUCUUCCUUGAAAGCAUCUCCAAAUUUCCAUAGUUCAAAUAUCCAUAUCUAUCAUGCCAUAACUUUGAAAUUCCUUUAUGAGCACCAAUAAAGCAAGACAUAUUCUGAUUUUGAAGGGUGAGAGAGAAAAGAUUAUUUGAUGCCACUCCAACUCUAGUAACAACCUAAUUUUUCUUUGACAAAUGGCAAGCCAUGUCACGGAAAUGAAUAUCAUACCCCUUCUUCAAGAGAUACCCAACACUAAGCAGAUUAUUUUUAAGACCAGGAACAAAAUAAACUUCAGACAUUUUCUCUACCAUUCCUUGCUUUGUUUUGAACUCCAACUCACCAACACCGCUAACUUUGUAAGCUUUGCCAUCUCCUACUUUUACUUCUCCACAAUCAGAUUCAAAUAACUUCGAAAAUAAAUUUUUGUUACCUAUCAUAUGCUUGCUAGCACCACUGUCUAUGUACCAGACAUCAUCAAUCUCUCCACCAUGAGAUACGAGUAGCAAAGUUUCUUGCUUUUGCUCUUGAUUAUUUUGUACUAUAUUAGCUUCAUUUUUUUCUUCUUUCUUGUACCAGCAUUCACUUGUCAAAUGACCAGGUUUGCGACAAUGAUAACAUUCAAAAUAGCCACGACCUCUUUCUCUUUGAUUUCCACGUCCAUGUCCUCUUUGUGAUCCUCUAACAUUUUGACUUUGGUUGGCUUCUUUCCAUCCAUUUUCCGUGCUUGCAUCUUCACCUCUUUCACGAGCAUUUGAGCCUCUUCCUCUAAAAUUUCUUCCUCUUCCAUGACCACGAUCUCUCCCUCUUUGAUUUUUAAAAUCUCCCUUCUUCUCAUUUAGAGACAACUUUGACUGGAGUGCUUGAUCUAGAUCUACUUCCUUUUUCUUCUUGUUUAAUCUUUCUUCAUGGGCUUGCAACGAACCUGUGAGUUCAUCAAUAGUCAUGGUACUCAAGUCCUUUGAUUCUUCAAUGGCUACCACAAUGUAGUCAAAUCUGGAAUCUAAAGAACGGAGGAUUUUCUCAACACCACGAAUAUCAUCCAUAGUUUCACCAUUUCUUUUUAAUUGGUUGACUAUGGACAAAACCCAUGAACAGUAAUCAGAAACUGAUUCUGACUCUGUUUUUUGCAAUCUUUCAAACUCCCCUCGAAGAGUUUGCAACCGAACUCUUUUCACCUUUUCAUCUCCUUUGAAUGAAUUUUGUAAAAAUUCCCAUGCUUGUUUUGCCGUGGUGGCACAAGCUAUUUUUUCCCAAGUCGCCAUAUGAUUGAACUCCUUGAUAUAUCCAAAAUAAGGCUUGCUGAUUUUUCUUCCUUGAUUUUCUUAGACUCUCUUUUUGAACUUGUGUUAAUCCUUCCUCCACUUCAGCCUCAACUUCAUUAUAACAUUUUUCAACAAUCUCCCAAACUUCUAGAGAUCCAAGAAGAGCCUUCAUUUGGAUACUCCAUUUGCCAUAAUUUUCUUUGGUUAAUUGGGGAACGGAAGAAAGAGGAAUAGAAUUGUUCAUUUCGAUCGAACAAGGCUCUGAUAUCAAUUUGUAGAAAAUUGAACAAUAUUUGGAGAAAUAAAACAAAGAAAAUGAUAAAGAAUAUAAUGAAAAGAGAAAUAAUUUUUGUAUAUGAAGAAAUAAAAUUCCUUCUAAUAAACUUUUUAUUUCAAUCACUCUACAAAAAUUCUUCAUCACAUACAACUCUUUAUAUAGGAGUUGUAAGUGACUAUUCAUCUAUAUCACUAAAUGCUAGGAGUUGUGACUAAUCAUUUAUAUAUCUUAAAUACUAUAAGAGUUAUGACUAUCCAUGCAUGUGUGUAACUUUUCAAAUUCAAGUCUCUUCACUCUUCAUAAUGUGUAUAACUUUUCAUCUUAAGUCUCUUCACUCUUCAUAUUCAAGUCUCUUCACUCUUCUAACUUUUCAUAAUUUAUUUGUACAAGAUUAAUUUAAUUAUGUGCCAACAUGAACAUGAAUCCGUAUCUAACACUUAAACCCAAAUCCAAAUGAAAUAGUUUAUGGCUUUUUUAUGUCCAAAAACAACUCUAGUGCACGAGGACGGACAUAAUAAUAAUGUGAUGAUUUGUAAAUGGUAAAUGUUCCAAGAAAUAAUGAUGCUGUUACUGUACAUACUAUAUUAUUAACGAACAUCCCAUCAGGUUGUUUACUUUGUUCAACUCAAGAAAAACCAAGUUAAAUUGGACAUUUACUCAGUAAUUAGAUUUGUAAACAUUAGCGCACCUGUAGUUGUUUAUCUAUAUGAUUUAGCUCCUUUUUUACUUCGAGCAAUUUCUCCUUUGCGUCAACUUCCUUUAAAAGGCCUGCCUUGAACUCGGCCAGUAUUUUCUUCAUAUUCUCCUUUAUUUCUUGGAGAUAAGGUAGCAGUGGCCAUUUCUCUUCGAUUUGCCUGACAGUUGCUGAAACUUCUGGAUAGUUAGGUAGCUGAUCCCAAUGUUUUUCCUUCACCUUCAUGUCACCAAAUAAGUAGUACAAAACAAGUGUGAUAAGGAACAGAUAGAAAAAAUCUUUCUCCUGGUUUUUUGCUCCAGUGAGAAUGUAAGAUUUAUUAUCUAUAUAUAAUAAAAAUAACAAAAAUGUAAAUUGAAUAUGAAUGGCUAGGUUGAAUUAAGAGAAUUUACUCUAGUCAUCCUUCUAUUGAUUUGGUCAUUUAAGGUUUUCCCACUUUGCUCUACAGAUUUCACCAUAAUAAGCACUUCCAAACUCUCUUCUCCUACAUUUGGUGAUUCACGGUUUAGCUGGAGCUGGCUCGGUAUGCCUUCUCCUAUAGCUUCCCGAUUUCUUUUCUUUCGUCCAGUCAACAUUGAUCUUGACGGAUUUACCUGAUUAUUAUCUGGUGAUGCAUUAUUUGAUGCUCCAGGUGUAGGUGACAUAGCGAUAUUCAGAUGCCUGCUGUUCAUAAUAUUUCAACUCAUAUCAAAUUUCUGAAUCUAAAACAAUCAAAGUUUUUGCUAAUUCAGAACAAAAAUAGAAACAAGCAAGCAAGUGAAUCGAAGUUUUCUUUCAAAGAAAGGAAAUGAAAAUCAUAAACUAACAAAACUUACAAUAAUAAAUAUGAAAUUAUAGGUUCAGCAAAAACCAAAGCAAAUAAAUGUACGGAAACUGAGGAAAAAUGAAUGAAUUAAAUUGGUAUAGCAACUUACUGCGCCUUCGAUGCUGCUGUGCUCAUAUGCUGUUGUUUUCGGUCUCUAAGCUUGUUGUUAAGUCUUCAGUGAUGUAAUUUGGAUUACUUAUCUUCAGUGAUGUAAUUUGGAUUACUUAUCUAAAUAAAAUUACGUUUUUACCCUUACAUAUAAAAAGAAGUUUCUGUAUACAUGAAGGGUUUAAAAUGUAAGUUUAUACCACAAAGAGGAACUUGAGCAGUGAAGCGUAAAGUAUUGGAAACAUAAAGGUGAAAUUACACUUUAAUCUCUUUAAAAAUAUACAAAUUUAAUUUAAUUUUAAAAAUUAUAAAUAUAUAAAUUAUGAUAAAAUUGUAUUUGUAUUAUCGUGCAAAUUACAAUUUAAUUUCGAAUUCUUAAAGGAAAUUUUGGUUUCUGGUUUAACCCUAAAGCUUUUUAUUACGUAUUACGUAUUAAUAAUUUCCCUUCAAUGCAGGUUUCUUUAAUUACUUGAGCAAAAUUUUAUUUCUUGUUUGAAUUUUGGUGUGGCUGGCUUGCUUGUUAGUUAGUGUUUUUGAUUGUUUUACAUUUCCCUUUAUCCGUUCAAGAUGAACUACGUUGACAUUCGAAGCAGAGUAGGUGCGAACCAACCGCGGUUGCUAGCUGACGUCAUCGAGCUUGAUAUCUAUCACAGGCCCUAAUAGAGAGGUUAAUAUAUGGGAGGUGAAAAAUGUGAGGCAUGGUGUAUAUCUUGAUCAUUGAUAUUAAGCAACAAAACAUUUCUCAUUCUUAAGCUUUCCCUAUAUCUUGAUCGUUUGUUCAUGUUUCUCUUACAUUUUAGAAAUUCAGUACGGAGACUCUAAAAAAAAGUACAUAUUUGUGUAUAUAUAAAAAUAUAUGAUACUACUUUUCUUAUCUUUGUGAUGUAUAAGCUUAGUGUACAAUUUAAUUAUGAUCCUAAUAGGUAUGAACAUCAAACAAAAUUUGAAUAGAAUAAUAACUUAUUUAAUAAGUAAUUUAAAUAAUUUAAGGGUAAACUAUCAAAAUAGUCACUUAUGUUUGAAAUGUUACAUUUUAGUCACUUGCGUUAUGGUGUGGUAACAUUUUAGUCACUGAGCGUUAAUUGUCGUUAACGGUGUAACGUAAGUUGACUUGGCACGUUAAAUCAUCAUUUCAAACUAAAAUUUUAGGUUAAAUUAUCAAUUGGACCUUAUACUUUUUUUUGUUUUGAGCAAUUUUUUUUUUCUUUUACGUUAAAAGAGAUGAAGAAGGGAGGAAAAUAAAGGGAGAAGUAGAAUAGAAUGGAGAAUAAAUAAUAAAAAAAGUUAAAAGAACAUAAAAGAAAAAAAUAAAUUGCUCAAAAAGAAGAUUAUUUUGAUUAUUUUGUAAUUUGUGUUGAGAGAGGCUAAUUUGCUCACUUUCAAAGUUGUCAGGGACCAAAGGGAAUUACACCAAUCUAUUAUUUGAAUGAUUCGAAUUAUGAAAUUCAACUCGACUCAAACUCGAAACUCAAGUUAAAAAACAUUUAAAAAAAUUAAAUUGCUCAAAACUAAAAAAUAUGGGGAUCAAUUGUAUAAUUUAAUUUAAAAUUUUUGUUUGAACUAACAAUUUAAUGUGCCACGUCAACUUACCGUUACACCAUUAGCGAUAAUUAAUAGCCCAGUAACUAAAAUACUACAACGUGAUAACGUACAAAAGUGACUAUUUUAAUAGUUUAUUUUUUUUCUUAUUAAACAUUGAAAUAUAUUUGGGCUAAUGUCUUAUUAUCUAAUUAAAACCCAAAUAUGGCUCAGACCAAAGCACAUAAACCGUCAGCCCAUACAAGUGUGCCCAUAAACCCUAGCUUCUUCCUCUUCUCUUUUCCUCAGCCGCACAGCUUAAUUUUUUAUUCUUUUCCUGUGCUUUUCUUUUGAUCGGCCACCACCACUUCUUCUUCAAAAGCCAAUAGCGGUGUCCUUAUCGGCAUCGUGUCGAAACUGGUGUGGCCGCCGUUCAGGCGAGUACGAGCAUCAUAGAAUUAUAGUCGAAGUCAAGGUUAGCAAUAAUCGUAUCAUUUUCAUGUCUGUCUUUUAGUUUAUUAUAAACACAUAUCAUGUCGAAAGGAAUGAAAAUAGUGGUAUAAAAUUUUGUACAGAUAGCUGAAAAGUGAAAAAAUGAACAAGAAGGAGAUAUUAAAGUUGGCCAAGGGAUUCAGGGGAAGGGCAAAGAACUGUAUACGGAUAGCAAGAGAACGGGUUGAGAAGGCCUUGCAGUAUUCCUAUAGAGAUCGCAGAAACAAGAAGCGUGACAUGCGUUCUUUAUGGAUUCAACGCAUCAAUGCUGGCACUCGUCAACAUGGGGUAAUCUCUCUUUUCCUCCCCUUGGCCGUUUUGAAUCUGAAAUUUCUAUUUGCUUACCGUAUUCCUCCUCUAAUUCAAACUUUCUUGAUGUUGCUAUUCCUUCAUUUUUUGAAUCAUCUUUUGUAAUGUCCUUCUGAAUCUUGUUAUGGUUUUGAUUUUAUUAGCUUUACUGAAAGAUAACUGAUAUAGGUUGUGACUUGUAGAUGCCAUUUUUGCACACCAACUAGUUAGUUCUUAUCAAUGAAUUAAAAACCGGAUUAGAGUUCAAACAACAAGUUAAACGGGAUUAUGCAAUUAAAAUAUAAGUUAAAUGUUAAUAAGAAUAUGUAUUUGGCUUAAUGAUAUGCUUUUUAAUAUAUCAUCUUGAGUUUAAAAGUUCAAAUCUUGAAAGAGAUUGGUUUUUUACCUGUCUUUUCCCGGUUCAUUGCUUCCUCAAUUCUUGGGGAUGUACCAGACCAGACAGGCCACCAGUUCCGGGUUUAAUUGAUCAGUCUGGUUUUUUCUUCACAUGGCAUGUGUGAUUUUUGCUUUUUCUUAUAGAUUCUAACAUCUUGAUCCAUUGUUUGAAGUUCACAAAGCUAGGAAUGGAAUUGAGCAUACUAUAUUGUAUUUAUAUCAUGUAACAGAAUGCAUAAAUAAGUGUUUUUUUUUUUCUUUUGGUGCCUAUGGUUUGGUGACAAUAAAAACACCAUGAUUAAUCAUAUAGGAUCAAAAUCUUAUAUAGUCAGUGUUCAAGUAGUUUACACAAGAAACCUGCAUUUGAUCGUUAAAGGAAUUCUAGUAGGUUGAGUUAAUAUUUUAUGAUUGUCAAUAAAGAUAUCUAAGCAUUUCAUUUAACAUAAUCUUUUGGAAUCUCUAUACUACCUUUUGGAGGUCUGUUAUAUCAAAAGAGGCCAGCAAUUGAAUUUUAUUAUUUAACCAUUUUUCUUUCCUCUCAUUGAUCAUUAUAAUAUUUGAAAACAAGAAAUAAGGUUCCCCUGACCAAGACAUAGUAGACCUUUUUGUAUAUAAUACAACUGCGGAAAUAAGUUUGUAUUGGUGAAAUGAAUUUGGAAGUAAUCGCAACAACUCAGCUUAACUCUAGUUGUUUGGGGGUGUAGGGUUUGCGUAAAGAUAAUAGAUAGAUUAAUGCUUAUUAUGAUCAUAGAUUUGGUCUUCUUGUUUUUCUCAUGUUUGCCAUCUGGAAAAGACUGGAAAAGAAAAAGAGAAAUGAGUAAGUAAUAAUGAUUUCAUGAAUGGUUUUUUAAUUAUCACAUCUCCUUUCACACAUGCAAGUUAUAUUCUCUCCAAAAGUUUCGCUCGCUUAAUAUCAGCCAUAAUUACCUUUAUUUUUUAAUAUUCUUCCAUGGAUGCACUUGCUUCAUUUCAUCCAAUAUGCUCUCAUGAGAUUUCUUGGAUUAUUAAACUUUUGUUUUCUUGGAGUCUAAAUAUACCCCUCAUAAACUGCGUGUGGAAAGCUAAAACCAUUUACCAAUACUAGGCCAGCUUUAUUGUUGGUUUAUUUUCUGAUUAUCUAUUGAAUUUGAAGUUCCUUAUUUUGCUUGCCUUGCAUGAAUAGUGUGCUAUAUUUUGGGGGUAUGAGCUUGCUGCUGUAAGCAUGAUUGUUGGGCACCUUGGCCUGAUGUGUCAUUCAAAUGAUGCCUAUGCAUGUACUGCCUUGGUUGUUGACUAUGGACAUGUGCUGCUGAGUACAAUGCCCUUUUAUACCUGUUUCUUUGUUGUCACUCACGCUCAACCGUAUAUAAGUCAAAUUUAUAAGCCCAUAACUUUAUAGUAUAGAAAACUUAACCACAAAAUGCUACUCCUGCUCUUCACUUUUCCUAAAUUACCUUUUUCUGACACGUAGUCAGACAUUGUUCUUGGGGUAUGAUCCUUCAAAUGUGGGGAAUUUUUUAAAAAGAUUGUGCAUACCGGUAUCGAAUACAUACUUCUACCUGACCUCGCCUCCAAGCCCAGUAACAUAGACCAGAACUUUAUUUCUCUAUGGUACAUAAAUCUGUCAUUGCUGGAGUGUCAAGUCUUAACAUAUUAUUUGAUCUAUGAAGUUUUUUUUAAUAUCAGUAUGUAGUUAUUUUUUUGGGAUACUUUCAACCAUAAUUAUAAUUGUAUCCAAUGUGUUAUCUUUCUCUUAACAAAUACCAAAUUGAGUGCAUGAAUGCUAUACUUUUUUCUCACGUUUUAGUACAUGAGUUAGGAAUAAACUAAUUACAAUUGGUAAAUUUUAACUGCUCACAUGCAUUAAUGCUUUGGUUUUUUUUUUUUUUGUGAUUUGCUUUUGUUUACAGGUAAACUAUGGUAACUUCAUGCAUGGACUGAUGAAAGAGAACAUACAAUUGAACAGGAAAGUACUGUCUGAAAUAUCUAUGCAUGAACCAUACAGUUUUAAGGCUCUCGUAGACAUUUCCCGGAAUGCCUUCCCUGGAAAUAAAAAUGUUGUGCUCCCUACAAGAAAAGCAGAUAUUUCAAUCAAUGUAUAAUUACUUGUGUUUGGUGUCUUUAGUAAUGACUCUUUCUUUAACACUUAAUGUCAACUGAACAUUUUGGGAAAUAAGAGAGGAUUAUUGCUUUUCCUGAGUUGUUUCUUCUGCUUCUCUGUUUUCUUGUUUAAUCAUUUCGAAACGGGUUUUUCAUAUAUUCAAAGAAGGGUCAUGUUUGAAUGUGUCGGAUACUAAUGUUAGACAAAAUCGAAGUUUAUUGGGAAAAUUUUGACAAGAAACCUACUUUUCAGCAGCAUGAUAAAAAGUAUAUGAAUAAGUGCAGUUGAGGGAGAUAAAAAGGACAUCUGCAUCCUGAUUUUUAUAGUUUAAAUUCUUUGCCUCAUUGAUAUUUUGAGUACACAGAUGCCAUUUCUUACAUCCCUAGACAUUGUGGAUAUGUUACAUGAUGCUAUGCAAUCAGACUAUUAUCUAAUCUAACUGAUAUUUUUUGUGAGUGAGGUCUUCACCUAAACUUCUCUUUUAACCAUUGGUGUGGAUUCAAUUGAGGUUUAUGUUUACAUAUUAAAUUAUUUGAAUUACAUUAUAUAGUUCUAAUUAAUAUUGUCAAAGAUCUUUCGUUAAAUUAGAUGAUGUGAUUUUUUUUAAUCAAAAAAAAUUGUUCACGUGAUCAAUAUUAUAAGCAUGGAAGGUCAAGCAAAAAAAAUGUUAAGUUGGUGUCAUAAGGUUUUCGACUGAGUGUUGGAAGAUUUUUCAGCACUAUUACAAAGAAGUGAAGGUAGAUACAUUAUCCUUGCUUACAUGGUUUUUACGUAGCUUUAAAUUGGCCACAUGAACAACUUUUAUUUUGAAAACGAUAUAUAAUCCAAUUUAACAUAAGUUUUUUGACAGUUUUUUCAGUUGUUAAAUAAUAUAUAUAUAUAUAUAUAUAUAUAGACUGAAAUGAGGAACUCAAUUUCAAAAGUCUACUCUCUGUAUACGAAAUCAAGGAUGUAUCUAGAGAAAGAAAGCUAACGUUUGCUAGCAAAUACUUAAAAAGAACAAUGAAAGUUCUUUAGUAAGCUUAAGAAAGGUAAAGAUUUUAGCCACACCAAUUUGAUUUCAAUUUUUAAUAAUUCAUACAGGUAAACUAUAUGAUAAAGCAUCGGAUAAAUACUUUUAUUAGACUUAAAAACCAAAUGCAUAAAGUAAGUAGUUUUCUUCUAAUUUAAAUUUAAAAAGUAAAAAAAUUAACAUUGUUGAGUAUUUUCUAUAUGUCCUUCAAAUGUGGUCUACCUAUUUAUACGAUAGGAUACUGUUCAUCGAUAGAUAGACUCUAUGCACGUAAGACAUGUUCCCUAUUCUAGCCUAAACAUGCGUCUUCAUGGUUCCGAGCUCAUGCAAAUGCAGCUUCGCAAUAUUGAACCUUGUAAUUUAGAGACCAAGUCUGAUUGGUCAACUUGCGUACUUACCUUGCGAGCUUAGUACUUGGAUCAAGCCUACGAACUCAUUAGGGUUUGACCCAGGCACAAACUUGAGAAGGGUGUGGGCCAAUAAUGAUAAUUAUCCUAACAAUUCUUAAUCUAACAAAUAAAGUUUUUGAAUGGAUGAUAUACAUGAGCUAUGAUGAACUUCCAUGUUGGCUACUAUCUAUUAGUGGAUUUGAUUGGGUUUGCUCUACUCAUUCCUGAUGUGCAAGUUUUGCAGUCUCAAUCUCUGAAGUUUGCUACCGUAGAUGUUGUGAUAUUAAUUGCCAUUUGCCAUUCUAUUUGGGGGACAUCAGCAGUAUUAAAGCAAAGAACUGGUUACUGUUAAAUUUUCCCUCUAGCCUGCACAAAAGUUGGUUCCAAGUUCUUAGCUCUCUUCCUUUUCAAAAGGAAUCAUUGAAUAAUAACUAGACUCUCAGCUGUCUAUUGGAAAUUGAUUAAAAAAAAAAUACCAAUCUAGUGAAAAAUUUGAGACUUCCCAUAUCUAGUAUCAGUGAGAGCAGAAUGUAUUCAGUAUUACAGUGGAUAAAGCUACCAUAAAGUCAGGUCCCACAUCGCACCGGAAAAGCAAGCAGCAGCUUCUCCUCGUAUUUAUAAAGCAACUUGUAGAUUGAUUGCAUUUCACGGAGCCGUGUGAUGAGCACAGAGCGAACUAUUCUUUCGCCUUUUACUAAAGAAUACCGUGUGCUCGUCACUAUAAGCGGCAUACGCCAAUUUUUGGAAGGGUAUUCCUAGUUGAAUGCCCCCAUUCCAGUACUAGUGCUAAAGGUUUCUUUAUUCUAGGAACAAGCUUGUGCCCUUUAGAUAUGUUUUGGUACUAAAUAAAAUGUUGAGAAGCUUUUAAGUUAACAAGCGAAUAUCUGAAGUGUACUUCCCGAAGAUGUCUUUUGUCAUCUCUCCCUGUCCUCGUCUGUAAUUCUUUAUAUCUACAUUGUUAAAGCCAACUCAAGGAACAACCAUUUUUUUAUAAUGCCACUGUCAUGUUAUUGAUUGGGAAAGAAAGGUGUAGGAAGUGUUGGGUGAGUGAAUAAACAAUGUGCCAAAGUAUUAAUAAGAAAGGAUACGAGAUUCCCACUUUGGAGCUUCUCCCUGGAUAGGGCGGACUCCCUGCUCUUCGCGCAUCAAAUUUACUUUUACCAGCAAUGAAUUCCAUCAUUCUUCAUCAUCACUACAUCAAAGCAGUAAGUGUUGUUUCAGUUCACUUUCUGUACACUUCUUGCUUUGAUUUUUGCUAAAUUUAGAAUUUCAUAUCCGUUUUCUUUAAUUACUUGAGUUUUGUUAGUUGAUAAUUUUGUUUGAAAAGAACAUUUCAAGAAUUAGUAAAUGGAUCUUCAUAUAUUUGUUUGUGAAUUUUGUUAAUUGGCUUAAUCUUCUUUGUUCAUUGUUAAGAACCCCCUCCACGCUUGUUCCUCUGUUUUUGUACGUAAUGAUGAGUUAAUUUCCUUAUUUUGUUCUUAUACUAUUCAUAAUUUCUCAUGUGUUAAUAGCAUGCUUGGAUACCUUCUAAUGUUUUGUUAUUGGGGCAUCCUUAAUUGUUGGACUGGUUGCAUAUUUUUGAAGGUUAGACAUAGAGCUGCUAAUCUUAUACAGCCUCUCACUCAUCUCUUUUAAGAAAAUCAGUAGUUUGUUUCUCUCCUUAUCUCCCUGCUUAGAUCACAUUUUUCAUUGGUUCUCGACUAGCUUUUAAGAAAAUCAAUAUUUUUGAUGAGUUAUUCAUUAUCUGUAGGCUAACAUAGGAUAUUCCCUGGGACUACAAUAAAAUUGCUGAUUGUAUUGUUAGAAUGGCAUUUGAUACGGAACAUAGCUUAAAGGUGUUCACAGAAAUUUCAAGAAAGGUGAUAGCUAUUUCUGUUGUUGUUCAGGGAAGAGAUAGUCUUGCUCUUAGCUUAUCUGCCAGCUUGUUUUUGCUUUAAAAAAAAAAAUAAUUGUCGUUCCAUAAAUAAAAUUUUACCUAAAAUAACAAAAUAACAAAAAUUUACCUAAAAUAACAAAAUAACAAAAAUUUACCUAAAAUAACAAAAUUUUUAACUUAAAUAGCAUUAAUUGUCGUUCCAUAAACAAGUUAUUACCAAUUUUUAACAUGUAUAUUGUAUUCAAAUAUGAAAUAAUAAUAAAAAUUAUGUUCAAUAUGUGGUAAAUAAGGUAAUCAAAUAUGCCUUAAUAAGGUAAUCAAAUAUGCCUUCAUAAGGUAUUGUUAUUUUUUAAUAAAAAAAUUUAUAAUUUUAUAAUGUUUUUAUAAUGUUUUUAUAAUUUUUAAUAAUUUAAAAUUUUAAAAGUGCUUAAUUUUUAUAAUUUUAAUUUUGGUAGUAAUGCCUUUUUGACUCUUUAGUCUUAUUGGUUUAAAAAAAUUUAAUUUACUUCCGAAAAAAGAGUAGGGGUCAAAUUAAAUAAAUGUGUAAACAUUAAGGACUAAAUUUAUUAUUUUAUCAUAUAUAAACUUUUAAUAAAGAGACUGUUUUGCUCACUCACUCAUGUAAUAUGUAGGGACUAAUUUAAGCAAAAUCUAUCAAAUAAUACGAUUUUUUAUUACCUUCUUAUUUAAUUAUUAUAGUUCCACGUGUCAAUAGAAUAUGUUACUAAAUGUCAAAUUAUUAGAGUGUGAAAAUGUUGCUUCUUACCAUUUACAAAGAACCUUGUAGAUUAUAUAUACAUAUGAUAGGAUAUCAUAGUGGAAAAAAUGACUUUUUUUUGCUAUGUCCAAUAACAACUCUAGUGCAAUAUGAUUUAUAAAUUAAAAAAUUAUUUUAUUUAAUAAAUAAUAAUUAUAUUAUGUUAAUUAAAACCAACAUGCAUUUGAACAAAGUUAGAGAGUUAAAUUAGAGAUUUAAAUCAUGAAAGUAAACUAAGUAAUUAAAUUGGUAAAAAAUAUGUCUUUAUUUGUGUAAUAUUGGUACGUACAAUACAAGAUAAAUUAAGAACAAUAUUUUGCUGUGACAUGCUAAAAGGCAAUCAAUCCAAAUUCAUUUCACGUAAUAUUGGUAUAUACGAUACAAAAUAAAUUUAAAGUAAUAUUUUUGCUGAGAGAGAAUUUUAAAUGAAAAAUUCCUUAUAACCAUUAAAAUCAUUAGUACACAAAUCUUGCACAUAUCUAAAAAUAUCUAUAAAUAUAUUCAGACAAUAAUAUUAUCUUUAAAAUCCGAAUCUACGUUCCAUUCCUUUAAAAUGAACCAAAUACUUUAUUUUUUUUUUCAAAAGCAAACCUUUUUUGACUUCCUAAUUCCCAAAUAACAUGGUCCUACAUCAAUGCUCCCAAAAAGCCUUUCUAAUAUAUAUUCACCAACAAAUUUUCUAGUCCCAACUACUUUAUAGCCAAUGAAGAUUGAACCAACCAAAAUGAUAUCAUUAUGAAAAUCAUACAAAUCAUACACAAGAAUAACAAAAGAACAGACAUUACAUAACAAAAAAAACAUCAUAAAAUACACAAAAACUGCUAUGGGGCAUCAAUUAACAAAAUAUUUUAUUAAGUUUUUGACAUAAGGCUACCAAUAUUCAAACAUUUGUAUCUAUUAAAUCAUUUAACACUUAUAUUACUAUAGAUUAUUAUCCGAUACAUUAAUAACGACGGUUUUUAAUUUCACAAAUAGAUUUAAAAUUUUCAUUCAUUCAUUUAAAUUUUUAAAUAUUAAUUAAUCAUAUCGACUAUUUUAUAAAAUUAAAAAAUCUCACCGCCAAUGUAUCAAACAAAAUCUUAGAUUCAUUGUGGAUAACUCUAAACCCUAAAACUAUUCAAUUAGAUUAAUAUAUCUCAUAAUUGGGAUUUUUUUUUUUGGCUGCUUCUUUUUUCUAUAAAAAAACAAUCAAAUAUACAUCCCUAAAAUUCCUUCAAUUUUCUAACAGAUUAAAAGGUAAGGAAAAAAGAAACAGAAGCCAACCCCAUCAUCACUCCAUGGAAGAAGACGGCUUAGGUGGUAGUGUAGAAGACGAUGAAUCUUGGUGGGGUGGAAAAAUAAUCUGAAUAAUCUCUUUAUCUUCCACAAUUUUCUUGGAUUCAUUCACGUCUGUUGAGAAAGAACCUUUACGUUUCUUAGGAGCAGGAGGACAAGACAAGAGUUCAGGGAUCCGAUGUUCUUCAGAAGUUGGAGUCCGACAAAUUUCAGGGUCGAAAAGUGAAUCAUCAGCUGGUGGUGGUGUCUUUGCUUCGACAUUAACAGUUAACUUUGAAAAGUUGUCAACUAGACAUUGUUGCAUGGCUUCUUAUUGGGAAUUUUUACACAGAAUUGAUGAGGGUGGCAAUGGUAAAAAGGGUAGGAAUUUAAGGAAUGGAAAUUUUAAUUUUAGGGCAUGAAAGAAUAAAUAAGACAAAAAAACCAAAAUGGAAACAAGGAAUAAGGGAUAAAAGUGGGGUCGGGCCAUUAUUUUUAGAGUUUGACUUUUAUUUUUUAUUUUUUAAGUUAAAAAUAUGUUCCUUGUCUUUUCUAUUUAUUUAAUUCAUUUAUUUUCUCAAAUUUGUCACCUCAUAAUAUUAAUUUCUUUUAUUAUAUCGUAAUUAAGUUUUUUUAUUUCUAAAAUGAUUUAAUAUAUAAUUGUAUUUCGUAUAAUUUCGUCUCAUUAAGUCAUAAGGUUAUAUUUUAUAUUAACAAAGUAUUUUUUAAUUAUUAAUUAUAUAACAUUAAUAAUAUAAAUCUAAUAUUAAUGUGUGAUGGGCCUUAGGAGACUAAACUUAGAGGCCCAAUGUGGACUUUAAAGCCAAAUUUUAGAAUUAAUUGAUUUGACCCAUACCCAUAUAUAUUAGAUUAGUGACUUUCUUGUAUUUUGAUUUGUAUUUCUGGUAAGGUGCCGACACUGCCAAAAGAAAAAGAAAGGAGUUUGAUGUCAUAGAGUAAAAAAAUAAAAAUUAUCUUUACUCUCGGCUCCUUGCGUAAAAAAUCUCUCGGUAAAUAUUUUUGCAUAAAUUAUGUUAUUUAUUUAUUUGACUUUUUUUCCUAAUAUGUUAUUGUUUAAUAUUAUUACAACUUUCAAGUUUUUCAAUUAAAUUAUUGUCAACAAAUUAUUCGUCUUGUGCUAACUAUUCCUAUGUCUACUACAAUAACCAAACAAGCAUUUUCAACCAUAAAAAUUGUGGAGACAAAACUUCACAACAAAAUGGAGGAUAAUUUUCUUUCAACUAACUUGAUGGCAUACAUCGAAAAAGAGAUAACUCGAAAAUUUUCAACAAAUUCUAUUAUUGAUGAGUUCAAUCUUAUGAAAAAGCGGAGUGUGCAAUUUAAGAUGCCUAGUACCGAGAAAUACGACUAAGGAUAAGUUUUUUAAUUUAAUUUUUGGAAUUAUAAUGAUAUUUAUGAAACUUUUAGUAUAAUAUUAGUUAUUAUUUUUUGCAUAUCGAAAAGUAUUUGAGAAGAAUUUUCAACAGAUUCUAUCAUUGAUGAUUUAAAUUGAUUUAUUUGAUAAGAGAAUAAAAAGUAUCCGAGAAGAAUUGGUACUUUUUACGAAAAAAAUCAUUCAAAUUUAAAAAUUACUCCUCUUUGAAGUAAAAUCUUGAAUCUGUCCCUACUUGUAAGAGUAAGAAGGGGUUGUAAUAAUCAGAGCUAGCAACAUUCUUAAAUCACAAGGCAAUAAAAUAGAUAAUCUUACUCAGAGUCUUCUUGUGUAAUUAGCUUAGUUGUCAGCUUGUUUUCGCCUUUACAAAAAAAAGUAUCAAACUUUUACCUAAAAUAACAAUUUUUUUUAACUUAAAUAGCCUUAAUUGUCGUUCCAUAAAUAAGUUAUUACCAAUUCUUAACAUGUAUAUUGUAGUCAAAUAUGAAUUAAUUUUUGGUAAUUUUUUAACUCUUUUUUUUAUUAUCAAAAUAAUAAUAAUAAUAAUAAUAAUAAUAAUAUUAUUAUUAUUAUUAUUAUUAUUAUUAUUUUGCGGUAAAUAAGGUAAUCAAAUAUGUCUUAAUAAGGUAUUGUUAUUUUUUUAAUAAAAAUUUUAUAAUUUUAUAAUUUUUUUUUAUAAUUUUAUUAUGAGUUUUAUGAGUUUUUAAUAAUUUUAAAAUUUUAAAGUACUUAAUUUAUUUUUUAAAAUUUAGUGCUUUUGUUGGCUCUUUAGUCUUAUUAGUUUCAAAAAAAAUUAAUUUACUUCCAAUAAAAGAGGAGGGGUCAAAUUGAAUAAAUAUGUAAACGUUAAAAGACUAAAUUUGUUAUUAUACCAUAUAUAAACACCAAAGCAUACAUUUAAUGGUACAAUUUGAACACAGAGACUAUUUUACUCACUCAUAUAACUCGACUCGAAAUUUCUUGACUCGGUUCUAAAAAAUUCAAAUUGAGUUUGAUUGUUAAAAUAAAAUUCGUCAACUCGACUAACUCAAUUUUUUUUUACUCGAUUCGACUCGAUCGAAUAUUCACCCCUAACUACAAGCGUGGGAAGUUGGCAUUUUUCUUAAGAUUUAGCUGAUAGCGGCUGAAACUUGUGGGUAGUUAUGUAGCUAAUCUCAUUGUUUUUCCUUACACCUUCAUGUCGCCAAAUACACACACAAAGCAACUGUUAAAGGAACAGACAAAGAGAAUCUUUCUCAUGAUUUUUUUCUGAAUGACUAGGUUCAAUUAAGAUAAUUUACUCUAGUCAUCAUUUUGUUGAUUUGGCCAGUUAUUUGGUUUAAGUGACGCGUGUGGGAUCACCUUUAACCUUGAUAUGUUUAAUUAUUUUUCUAAGUUUUUCACAUAUUUUGAGAAACCUCAUAGGUCAUCUUCUAAACCAAUGUUCGAACAUAUAUCAACUACUAAUUCUUCAAUCAAAAUGAAUAGUUCAAGCGACAUAGAUUUCAGUAUGAUUAGAUCGAAAAACCUAAUGCUUUGGUAUUCUCUCCCAUGGUUGUUUGCAUUGAAAACAAUAUAGUGUUACUUUCUAUGCUUUGAAAAUACUAUGUAUGGCUGAAGCUAUAAACUUGGAAAGAAAAAAGUGCAUAUCUUUCCUGAUUACUUUGUUCUGUAUUUGUAUAUAUAUUACAUCUUCAUCAUUUGUUUAUGUUUUCCAUAUUUGUUAUUUUAGCUUUAUUUUGCAGUGUCAUGUAUCAAAGAAGUUGCUGCAACUGAUGAUCAUGAAUGUUUGGAAAACCAGAACACUAUUACUUAGGGAAAGUUUCAACAGUAUGGGAGUGAGUCGUUUGAAGCACAAUAUAGUGCGAACAGACUACCAUUUUCGCUCAAUGAUAACUAGAUGAGCUCGUUGAGUGGAAGCAAGAACAGAAAUGAGGAAUUGGUUAUCAUCAAAUUUUCAUAAGCUGGAGGACAAGGUACUGAAAUUAAUGAUGUUGUUAUUCCUAUUGAUCAACACCGUAGAAGUUUGCUUACUCGGGAGAAGUUACAACGUAAUUUUAGUUCCUUGAAAUCCCAACUUUUUAACAAGAAUAACAACAAAGUGGAUGUUGCAGAUUACCUUGCCUUAAAAAUAAGCACCAGAAGAAAAUGUUUGUAUUCUGGACAACCUCAAACAUAUAGCUGCACAAAUCCAAAAUGUUCGUGGAGAAGCUACUGAGUAAUUUCCAUGAAAAUAUUCAACUUCUUGUUUGUGCCUCAAUCCAAGGGAUGGAAGAGGUGACACCUAAGGAUUUCGACUGGGGCAUGUUGAAAAAAGUGGGCGGCUGAUGCUCAACAAGGCUAAGAACAUUGCUUUCUAGUGGGAUUUGCUAAUAAUCUAUUGUUGGGAACUUGAUGAGCCCGACACAUCUAUUAUAGAAGACCUAGGACCUACAAGUAGAGGUGCUCAUGGGCCUAAUAAUCUAUUGUUAGGAUUUUUUUCCUGGGCCUGGCUAGGACUUAGUCAGAAACUGUUGGAGAGGGUUGACCAAAGAAAAAAAAGUUUGCGAAAUCAAGUUAUGAGUGGAAGAGUAUGUUUUUGUUGCAGUUACCGUCGGAGAUGAGCUUCAAUUGAGUUGUCGUCCUGUACUUGGGCUUCUAAGGAUACUUUUGUUUGAACUCACAAUGGUUUGGUACUUGAACUCAGUCAAAGAAUUUGGGGUUUCUAUAGUUAUUUAUUUUUAGUUACAAAAGGAAGUUGAACUAUAAUGUUAUCGAUAACAAUAGACUAGUUACUUAACACUUAUUCAUUGACAUUACAUUUUGCACUGCCGAAGGAAGUUGUGAGAAAAUAAAAACUCGUUUGGCAACACCUUAUCGCCUUGUGUAUAGCAUCAGCAACCAUAUUCGUUGUUCGUGGUACAUGUUGAAUCUUCACUUGCCAAUCCCUCGUCAUCCAGCUGUGAACCUCCAAUGCCAAUCUCAACGAUCUCAUUACUUCGGCUCCAAGUAUUAGGUCUACUAUUGUUUUACUAUCACUCUCAAUUAGCAGCCAACGCACCCCCUUCUCCCAAGCCAUUUUCAACCCAUCAACAAUUGCUCGAAGUUCUGCCUAUAGUUACUUUUAUUUUAACUCGAUGUGGUUAUGGUAUUUUUUCCUCUAUAUCUCUAAAGCCUACGGUUUUUGUAUUUUAAAUUCAGUAUUUUGUUUGUCUUACCCUUUAGCUAUACAUUUAUCCAUCAUAAAUUAUAACUACCAUUAAAAUUGUAAUGAAAUUAAACAAAAAUAUGUGUACCAAAUCGAUGGAAGAAAUUAAAUUUUUAAUUACAAAAGUAAGAAAAAAUGUUUAGGUACUAAUGUGAAAAUGGUUAAUUCAAAGGCUAAAUGGAAAAAAAUUUAAAAUAUAUUUAGAAUGCACAACAGAAAUGGCUUUAGGACUGAAAAUACAUGUUUCGAAAAGUAAUGGGACUAGAAAUUAAUAAAUUAUAUAGAGGGAUUAAAUCCUUAAAAAAUUCAUUUAUAAUUUAUUUACGGAGGAAAUAAAAAUAGUAAAAAUUCUGCUGUUAAGUCUCUAUACUUUGUGAAAGUUGCUGCUUUAGUUUUUAUAUUUUAAUUUAAUUAAAUUUAGUCUUUAUACUUUUAAAAUUAGUUAAAUUUAGUCCCUGUACUUUUUAAUUUUAAAUUUUUAGUUUUGAACCAAACAGUAGAAGUUAAAUUUGUUUGGUUAAAAUCAAUUACUAGUCAUGUACUACGCGCAUAAUUGUAGAUUUAGUUUAUGGUCUUCAAUUGGAUCAUUCUAAGUCUCUAUAUUUGUUUCCAAAUUGAAAUUUUAGUUUUGAUGUAAAUAAGAGUCGUUAAUCCAUUAACUGGAUUUUGACAUUACACGUAUGAUAAUAUGUUUACCGCAUCGAAUUUUGGAAGUAAUUGAACUCGAUGAAUUUUACUGUUAUCAUUUGGUGAGUACUGAAAUUUUAAAAUUUUAAAAGAAUAAGUCAUAAAGUAAAGUGACUAAUAGCACAGUUGAACCUUGUUAUAUAUAAUAUAUUCAUUCUUCAAGGACUUGGCUACAGCACUUGCCUUAUUUCCGUUUCUGUAUUAGCUCUCCACUAAAGCUUUCGUUCAUCUUCCCUGACAGUGAGUAUUGCUGAAUUACUAAUUGAUUAUGAUAUCUUAACUUGAUUUUGCGGAGUUUUGUUUUUCAUUUGGAGAAAUCUCUUGCUUUAUAUCAUUUCGUUUUUGUUAGUUUAUAUCUGUAAUGUUUUUACCUGUUUUCAAUUUGAAUGUCACUAGAUCUGUGAAAGAUGAGUAGCGAUGACAGUUUGGACAAACUUAUAAAAGGAACGUUUGUUGAUCCCUCGCCGGAAAAUAGCCUGGAACUUAGAGAAGACCUUCGACAGCUUGGGAUUCCGGCAACUGAAGCGCAAAUUGGCGCGAACGUACCGCCGUUGCCGGGCGAUGAGAACCAGGUCAACUCGUUGAGCUUGAUGUCGAGUAGUAGAAUGAAAAGAAACCUGGAAUUUGUUUUCGAUAAUUUCUCGGGAGAUAAAGGAGAAGAAAAAGGGCAGCGCCGAGGAGGCUUUUAUAUCGGUGAAUCAUCAAAUCCGCAGCGACAACGAGGAGCGGGAAGUAAAGAAGAGGAUUUAUCUGAGCUGGAAAUGGCGAAAGCUUUCAAGGAUCGUAUUAACAGUCAGAUAAAGAUGGUAAUGUUUCUUAAUUGAAUUUAAAAAAUUAGUAUUAAAUACUCAUCACCGUUAGUAUAUGUUGAAGUUAGAUAAAUACUGCAUCCACCGCCAAGAACCCUGCUUUUAGCCUUCUGUAGAUGCCUUUUCUUUUCUAUACUAGGAAUCUGUUCUUACGAUGGGAAACAACAGUUUGGAUGAAGAAGAAGUAAAGAUAAAUUAAAAUUUUGUAUAUUAAAUCAAAAGAAAAUGGAUUUUUUUAAAUUAAAAAUCUCAUUCAUUUGUAUUAUGAAAAAUUGGCAUAGUUAACAUAUAAAUGACCGAUUUUUAAUAAUAAAAAUAAAUAAUAUUUCUAACAAAAGUACUAGUUUGUUCUUUAAUCUACUUUAAUCUAAUAUACAUAAAUUAAUUUACUCAAUUUUUAGUAAAAGGAAUGAAGUGCAAUCCAACUUUUAAUACAGAUAACUUUGUAAUACUUUUACCAAUAUUUUAGAGAGCAUCAUUGUUAAAUAAGUUUAAUUUUUACUCCUUUUUUUUUAAUACAAGUGCUUUGCUACCAAUUUCUUUAUUGAAUAAACACUUUUUUUGCUGAAAUGCUUUAAGUGAUUAUAACUUCUAUGUAACCACCAUUAUACUCAUUAUCUAUACAAUUUGCUUUCCAUUUUCCCAUGUUCAAGGAACCCUUUUAAUUUCACUACGCUGUUUAGCAUGUUCAUUCUUACUUUCUCAUUUUAAGAGUCCUUUAGUAACUUUUUGCCUAAAGCUUAUAUGGGUUUGAAUGUUUUGUUAGGGAACUUUUGGAUCUUGUGGCAAAUUUAGAACUCUCAUUUUUCUCAGUCCAUUACCUCCACCUGUUUUGAGCUUGCCCUAAUCUUCCUCUCCACUAUUUCUCAAGAUACUUCAUUUUGUUAGAUUGUAACGUUUUCGCACUUUACUAACAAAACCCUUUACACCUUCCUUGAAGUGCCUUUUCUCAACUGACAAUAUAGCUAAGGACAGUUUCAGAAAAAUACUUGCUACGGUCCGAAAACCCUUGCAUUAACAAUGGUGAUAAAAUCAUGAUCAGAAUGGUUUUUAUCUCCGUAGAAGACACUAACAAUACCUAGUAGUCACCCUUUUUUUUUUUCAAAGAAAAAGCUGUAAGAAUUGUUUAUCUCCAAAAAAAGCAAUAUCUUGAAAUGCGUAUUCGUAUUACAUGAUUCUUAAUACUUGUUUAUAUUUGGUGAAAUGUAGGACGACAUGGCAUAUAUGGAAUCUGUGAUCUGGAUUUUCCAUCAGAUGAUAGAGAUGAAAGCCUCUGCUCUCUUGCCAAAAGUUCUCGGCUCCCACAAGCAAAUCAAAUCGCAAUGCCCAGUUCGAUCUGAUCUUGAUGACAUUAAGCGAAAGGUCCUUGAAAUCGAGCUCGAGUUCAAGGACACUGGUUUGACAGAUGAGGCAAAGCGGAGAUUGCUCAAAUUAGAAGAGGAGUUUAAAAGAUUAGAUAAAAAAUGGAUGAAGGUAUGGUAUUGUUUACAAAUUUAAUUACCACAUUUAGUUUCAUGAUGUAACAUAUUAUUCUGACUUUUUAACUUGGUUUUUCAGGACUUGACAAAAGCUGGGAACCUUGAUGCAAUCUUCACUAAUAAUAUGGUAUGCACAUAAACGUUUCUUAUGAUUGAUAUUAACCUAGAUUAUUAUUCUUGAAUAAAAUGAACAUUUCUCAUUUAUAAAUCACAUUAUAAUUAUAUUUUUCUUUCCUCUUAGACAUGUUUUUUAGAUAGUAAAAAUGGUAAAAAUAUCAUGGAGAGUCUUGUACUAGAAGUCAGAUUACUUUUUUGUCCCCACUAAAAAAAUAGACAAUUAGUCCUUAUAUUAUCAGAGCAAAUGGCUCCAUCUAUUACAAAUUUCAUUAAUUUCUACUGUUCAAAUCUAGUCCUUAGACCUUAACAUGAGGUAUACGUAACACGUCACAUGUAACUGUUUUGGUUAUUCUGUUAUCUACAUCAGUUUUUAACUAUAAAAAUAGACGAUAAUUUCAACAGAAAAGCUUAGUUUGGUUUUUUUUUUUAUUAAAUGGGCAAAAUACAAUUUAAUAUAAUAUUUUUACUUAGAAAAAAGUCGUUUUCAACUAUUUUUCAUGGAUUUGAGUGUGACUAGAGAAUACUAUUGCAUGCCCCGCUACAUAUAAUUUUCUUUUUUAUGUAUUUAGAGGAAUCCUUGGUGAUCAUAUGUGAUACCUACAUUUGAAUAUGUGUUUCUACAUUAAUCUUUUUAAAAAUCAAUUUACAAUUGCAAUAUCUUUCCUCACGCACCCGACCACUUUAAGCUAUUUUAGUAAGUUUUUUCUAAAUUUUUUUCAUGCAUUUAGGUGAACCUUGGACGGUCAUUCCAUGCCCGUAUCUGAAUAUAUGUGGAACAUGUACAUUUCAAGCAAAAUGAUAAUAAUACAUGUAGUUGAAUCUUUCUAAGCGCAUAUCUUACUUUAUUAAUUUGUUCAACAUCCAUUUCUGUGGUAUCUCUUGGUUUUUUUUUUUUUGGCAGUAUAUCCAAUUAAUUCUUAAAUUUGCCCCUGUUUAAAUCUCUUUUUGAUCAUUAAAUUAUAUUUCUUUUAAAUUUCAGGAUUUCAGCGUGGAGACACUAAGGAAAGAGGUACGGUGUAUCUAGGUCUAUAUAUAUAAGUUGGAUUAUCUAUCCAAGUCCAAAAACUCAUUUCAAAAAUGGGAAGAUUUGAGCAAAAAUAUUAGGUCGAAAAAUGAGUUUGAGCAAAAAAAAAAAAAUUAGGCCCAUUUUAAAAAUGGGUCGAACUCGGGCUUAAACAUUUAAGGCCGAACCUUGUUUUUUAAGUUUGUGAUAUUUUAUAUUAUAUAUUAUAAAAUUUAUAAUGUAAAUAUUAAAAAAAAAAGUUAAGGUAACUAUUAAAGUGAGCUUGGAUUAGCUAUUUACAAAUAUGGACAACGUUACUUAAACUUUUAGGUUCAUAUUUUGAAUUGAACCAGGUUUAAACAAGCAUAAUGCGUAUUAAUAACAUGUUUAGAUUCAAUUUAGCCGAUAAACCCCUCUAUAUAAACCUAUUUGGAAACUCAAUUUUCAAAACAUGAAUUUUGUUUUGUAAGCUUUACGACAUAAAUGAAAUAUUUAUGGUUAUUUUUCAAAUAAUAAUGAGAACUAAUUUAUAUUUAUAGUAAAUGAAAUACAAAUCUAAAUCUUUAAAAUUCAUGCUUCCAUAAAGUAACUUUACAUUGAAAUUUUAAUUUAUUGUCUAUAUUUGUUGUUGUUGUAGCUUUUCUCAGCAGGUCCAUGGAUUGAUAUGAAGAAAUUGCUUUAAAUAAUGAUCUUUAUGCUGCUGAUUAAGAUCAUGGAAGUUUGGCAGCUGGUGAAGGAUAUCACUCAUCUUUUGUUAUCUUUUAGAACACACUCAACUUUGAAGGAUUGUUUGAUAUAUUUUUAAUCUUCUCUAUGAAACUCUAAGGUUUUAACUUUGUGGAACUAAAAUCUAAUAAAAAGUGGUACUCCAAAACAAAAACAAAAAAAUCUUAAGAAUUUAUGAGUAAGGGCAGGCAUGAAAAUUUUCUAUUUAGAUCUUUUAUAUAAUUUUUAAAAUUUUAAAUUAAUAAAAGUAAAAUUAUUCUUUGGUUACCUUUAAAAAUGAUAAAAUUUUAAUUUAAUCAUUUAAAAGUUAUACUUUUAUUAUCGUAAAAAUUAUAAUUUAAUUUCGACUCUUCCUAAAAAGAUUUUCCGACUUCACCUCUUAAUAAAAGUGUACAACUGAGCUUAGUUGAGUUACAUGAAGUUCGAAAUUUAGAUUUGAAGUUUAGUUUCGACUUAUCUAUAUUGAGCUGGAUUCAAAAUUAAAAUUAUAUUAUGCCAUUCAUUAUAGUUAAAAAGAAUCAAAUGUAGACAUCAUUAAAACCUUCUUUAAUUCUUUUACUUCCAUUUAAAACAUUUUUAAACAAAUAUUUUUUUUUUCUUAUAGUCAAUUUUUAAUUUAAAAUUUAUUUUUAUGUGGAUAAUGUCAUGCCUUGGACUUAGGUUUGACAGACGUCUCACAUGUAAGAAUGCUAUCCAUUCGAUUUGCUUUUUUAUUUUUUUAUAUUAAUUUUGAGUUUUGGAAUUUUAUAUACAUUUUAACAAAAUGAAAUUGCUUUUAUGAUUUUUGAAUAUUAUUUAACAAAAUUUUAAAAUAUUUUCAUAAAUAUUUCUAAAAAAUAAUAUUUUUUUAAGAAGUAUUAGAUAAUUUUUACUAUUUUAAAUAUAAAAUAUUUUUUAUAUCAUAAAAAUUAAAAUUAAUUAUUAAAUAGAAAAAUAAAAUUCAGAUUGAUUUCGUGUAAUCGUGUUUUUUAAACAUACAUUAUAUAAAUCACUCAAACACUUUAAUUUGAGUUGGUUUUUGAUUUUGUGAAUUUUCUUGCUUAGUCCUAUACAUAUAUAAGAAAAGAAAAAUCUCACAAAUAUGUAAAAGUACAACCAAGUAACAUAAAACGUGAUUAAUAUGUUUUAAAAUCGAAAAAUUAGACAUUCAUACCAUUAAAUUUGUCACGUCUCGAGUCGAGGUAUAAUAAACGCAAGAGAUACGUAAAAUAAAAGCUCAUGCCUCUAACUUUCAUUCAUUUUUAUCAUUUUGAAUCUUGUUCUUUUUUAGGUCAUUUUAGCCUUAAGCUUUAAAAUUAAUUUAUUUAUUUGCUUUUAUUGAAAUGUUAAAAUUUUAAUGGUAUGGAUAUGCUAAUUCAUGCUGCAGUUUAUGUAUAUUUCACUAUUAACAUUGAUAAAAAUUUUAAAAAUUUUUAGCAACUUUUUUGAAUUAUCAUAAAUUAUUAAUUUCUAAUAUCACAUAUGAUUUUAUACGUUUAAUAUUUAAUUAAUAUUUUAAAUAUAAUUUUUUAUUACAGUAAUUAGUAUUAAAAUUUAUUAAUUUACUAAUAGAAAAUUUAAAGUAUUUUUAUUGUAUUUAAAUUAGGGUCUGUUUGAUUGACGGAAUUGAUUUUCCGGAAAAUCAUUUCCAACUUUUCCAGCGUUUGAUUGGCGGAAAAUAUUUUCCAUUUGGAAAAUGAACUCUAAAACAAGGGAAAAUGGGUUACAUUUUAGGGAAAAUGUCUUACCCUUUCAAUUUCCGUAAAACAUUUUCCGUGCUCUCCUCUCUAUCGCCUCCUUCAUUCCUUCCUUCAUUUCCGGUAGAAAACUGCUUCUGUUUAUCGAUUUUCCAGUAACUUGUUUUUUUAAUUAUUCAAUACUUAUUUUUUUAACACAAUUACAAAUGAUUUAUUUGAUAUUAGUUUUUUUCAAUUUAUAACGAUUAAUAUUGUAGCUUAAUAAUUGAGUAUUAUUAUAAAUAAAUCAUUGCAAUAUAUGUAAAAAUAAUUUAAAAUAUAAAAAUUUAUUAAUAUAUGUAAAAACAACUUUUCCGAAAAAUAUUUUCAAAAAAUCUGCCAAGCAGCAGAAAAUAUUUUACACAGAUUCAAUCAAACACUAGAAAAUAUUUCCAGUAAAUCAUUUUACAGAAAAGUAAAACAUUUUCCAGAAAUCAUUUUACGGAAAAUAUUUUACUGGCAAUCAAACAGACCCUUAAAGUAACAUUAUUCCACACUUAACCGCACUCGUCCGCUCAGCUCACUUUCGCGCGGUCCUAACUAGUCUCCGCACUUUCAAAUGUACAUACCUUGCAGUUUCAGUCCUCCAUAGUCUUUGGUCUAUACAAUUAAGGCUUUAAUUUCAGUUUUAUUUAUUCAAUUUAAUUCCUAUUAUUAUUCGUAUUAUUUAUUUUAGUUAUUUUUCUUAAUUAAUUAUUUACUGUGAUUUGAAAACUUUUAUUUGCAUUCUUGACAUCACAAUGUCUGACUGAUACCACAAUAUCUCUAUAUUAUUUUGAACCUUUUUUAAUCUUUUAAAGUCCGUUUUAGUCUCGAAUGCCUCUGAACAUUCAAAAAUUAAUUUUUUAAAUGAUUUCAAUACGAUCUUAAAGUCCUAAAAUUGAAUCUAUCUACUUCCUAAAAUUUUAUAAAACUUAAUCUAAUUUCUUACUGAAUGGUCCCACAUAGUUUUGAGCUUUUUCAAAGUCUCGAGACCUGAUACGAGUUAUGAACACCUUUAACUCACCUCAAACCAUUUUUAAAUGAUUUAAAAUUGUUUAUAAAACCAUCCAAAAAUCCAAACUUGAUUUAAUGAUUUAACAAAAAUAUUUUUAAAUUACAACUCUUCAAUGAUUUUGAGGAUUUUGACUCGUAUAUGUUCUGGUAGGUAUUACAUUUUGUGGUAUCUCAAAGUUUAAAAAUAAAGUAAGGACUAAAUUUUAAAUUUUAAAAAGUAAAGGGAUGUUAAUGGUAAUUUUAUUAACCAAAAGUCAAAUGUGACGCUUCCCUGGUUUUCUUUCUCUCGAUCCAACUUUUUAAUCGCCUUGUGUAUAGCAUCAGCAACCAUAUUCGUUGUUUGUGGUACAUGUUGAAUCUUCACUUGCCAACCCUUCGUCAUCCAGCUGUGAACCUCCAAUGCCAAUCUCAACAAUCCCAUUGCUUUGGCUCCUAGUGUUAAGUCCACUAUUGUUUUACUAUCACUCUCAAUUAGCAGCCAACGCACCCCCUUCUCCCAAGCCGUUUCCAGCCCAUCAACAAUUGCUCUAAGUUCUACCUAUAGUUACUUUUAUUUUAACUCGAUAUGGUUAUGGUAUUUUUUCUUCUAUAUCUCUAAAGCCUACGGUUUUAAUAUUUUAAAUUCAGUAUUUUGUUUGUCUUACCCUUUAGCUAUACAUUUAUCCAUCAUAAGUUAUAACUACCAUUAAAAUUGUAAUGAAAUUAAACAAAAAUAUGUGUACCAAAUCGAUGGAAGAAAUUAAAUUUUUAAGUACAAAAGUAAGAAAAAAUGUUUAGGUACUAAUGUGAAAAAAUGGUUAAUUCAAAGGCUAAAUGGUACAUUUACGCCUACGAAUUCUGGGGUGUAAUUUGUAAACCCAUGAAUAGUUUUAGGGUUUAAUUGGAAUUGUAUUUCCGGCCUUUAAAUUCUUAAAGGUAUUGUCCUCCCGUUCCUUGAACUAAUAUUUCCCGUUCCUUUCGGUUCAAGCAAUGAUCAAAAUAGGUCAAAUUUCAUAUUCAGUACCUGCACUAUGUUUUUCUUUUUGAUUUAGUCUCUCCUCUAUAAUUUGGUCAUUUCCAGCCUUUUUACUUUUUAAAAUGUGUAAUUUCAAUCAAUAUUGAGAUUACUUUUUUUUUUAAAACAUAUGAUGAGAUGAGAUGAGAUGAGAUGAGAUGAAAUGUAUAAUUUAUUAUUUUAUAUAUCUAGAUAACUUUUUUUUACAUUUAGAAAACAAAAGAAAAUUGUAUAAUAUUUAUCUAAUUAUACAAAAAAAUUUAAAAUACAUAUAGAAUGCACAACAGAAAUGGCUUUAGGACUGAAAAUACAUGUUUCGAAAAGUAAUGGGACUAGAAAUUAAUAAAUUAUAUAGAGGGAUUAAAUCCUUAAAAAAAUCAUUAAUAAUUUAUUUAUGGAGGAAAUAAAAAUUCAUAAUUUCACUUAAUAUAGAUUCCAAGUAAAAAUUCUGCUGUUUAAUUUAGUUUCUAUACUUUGUGAAAGUUGCUUCUUUAGUUUCUAUAUUUAAUUUUAAUUAAACUUGGUCUCUAUACUUUUCAAAUUAGUUAAUUUUAGUCCCUGUAACUUUUAAUUUUAAAUUUUUAGUUUUGAACCAAACAGUAGAAGCUAAAUUUGUUUGGUUAAAAUCAAUUACUAGUCAUGUACUACGCGCAUAAUUGUAGAUUUAGUUUAUGGUCUUCAAUUGGAUCAUUCUAGGUCUUUAUAUUUGUUUCCAAAUUGAAAUUCUAGUUUUGAUGUAAAUAAUAGUCGCUAAUCCAUUAAUUGGAUUUUGACAUUACACGUAUGAUAAUAUGUUUAUCGCAUCGAAUUUUGAAAGUAAUAGAACUCGAUGAAUUUUACUGUUAUCAUUUGGUGAGUAUUGAAAUUUUAAAAUUUGAAAAGAAUAAGGACCAAAUUCAUAACAUCCAUAAAGUGACUAAUAGCACAGUUUAACCUUGUUAUAUAUAAUAUCUUCAUUCUUCAAGGACUUGGCUGCAGCACUUGCCUUAUUUCCUUUUCUGUAUUAGCUCUCCACUAAAGAUUUCGUUCAUCUUCCCUGACAGUGAGUAUUGCUGAAUUACUAAUUGAUUAUGAUAUCUUAACUUGAUUUUGCGGAGUUUUGUUUUUCAUUUGGAGAAAUCUCUUGCUUUAUAUCAUUUCGUUUUUGUUAGUUUAUAUCUGUAAUGUUUUUACCUGUUUUCAAUUUGAAUGUCAGUAGAUCUGUGAAAGAUGAGCAGCGAUGACAGUUUGGACAAACUUAUAAAAGGAACGUUUGUUGAUCCCUCGCCGGAAAAUAGCCUGGAACUUAGAGAAGACCUUCGACAGGUUGGGAUUCCGGCAACUGAAGCGCAAAUUGGCGCGAACGUACCGCCGUUGCCGAGCGAUGAUAACCAGGUCAACUCUUUGAGCUUGAUGUCAAGUAGUAGAAUGAAAAGAAACCUGGAAUUUGUUUUCGAUAAUUUCUCGGGAGAUAAAGGAGAAGAAAAAAAGCAGCGCCGAGGAGGCUUUUAUAUCGGUGAAUCAUCAAAUCCGCAGCAACAACGAGGAGCGGGAAGUAAAGAAGAGGAUUUAUCUGAGCUGGAAAUGGCGAAAGCUUUCAAGGAUCGUAUUAACAGUCAGAUAAAGAUGGUAAUGUUUCUUAAUUGAAUUUAAAAAAUUAGUAUUAAAUACUCAUCACCGUUAGUAUAUGUUGAAGUUAGAUAAAUACUGCAUCCACUGCCAAGAACCCUGCUUUGAACCCUGCUUUUAGCCUUCUGUAGAUGCCUUUUCUUUUUUAUACUAGGAAUCUGUUCUUACAAUGGGAAACAACAGUUUGGAUGAAGAAGAAUUAUCCUUGCUUUUUAUUUUAUUUACUUAAAAAAUUAGAUAAAUUAAAAUUUUGUAUAUUAAAUCAAGAGAAAAUCUAUUUUUUUUUGGUUAAAAAUCUCAUUCAUUUGUAUUAUGAAAAAUUGGCAUAGUUAACAUAUAAAUGACCGAUUUUUAAUAAUAAAAAUAAAUAAAAUUUCUAACAAAAGUACUAGUUUAUUCUUUAAUCUACUUUAAACUAAAAUACGUAAAUUAAUUUACUCAAUUUUUAGUAAAAGGAAUGAAGUGCAAUCCAACUUUUAAUACAGGUAACUUUGUAAUACUUUUACCAAUAUUUUAGAGAGCAUCAUUGUUCAAUAAGUUUAAUUUUUACUUUUUUUUUUUUUAAUACAAGUGCUUUGCUACCCAUUUCUUUAUUGAAUAAACACUUUUUUUUGCUGAAAUGCUUUAAGUGAUUAUAACUUUUAUGUAGCCACCAUUAUACUCAUUAUCUAUACAAUUAUUGCUUUCCAUUUUUCCAUGUUCAAGCAACCCUUUUAAUUUCACUACCCUAUUUAGCAUGUUCAUUCUUACUUUCUCAUUUUAAUAGUCCUUUAGUAACUUUUUACCUAAAGCUUAUAGGGGUUUGAAUGUUUUGUUAGGGGACUUUUGGACCUUGUGGCAAAUUUAGAACUCUCAUUUUUCUCAGUCUAUUACCUCCACCAGUUUAGAGCUUGCCCUAAUCUUCCUCUCCACUAUUUCUAAAGAUAUUUCAUUUUGUUAGAUUGUAACGUUUUCUCACUUUACUAACAAAACCCUUUACACCUUCCUUGAAGUGCCUUUUCUCAACUGACAAUAUAGCUAAGUACAUUUUCAGAAAAAAUACUGGGUACGGUCCGAAAACCCUUGCAUUAACAAUGGUGAUAAAAUCAUGAGAAUGGUUUUUAUCUCCGUAGAAGACACUAACAAUACCUAGUAGUCACCCUUUUUUUUUUUCAAAGAAAAAGCUGUAAGAAUUGUUUAUCUCCAUAAAAAGCAAUAUCUUGAAAUGUGUAUUCGUAUUACAUGUUUCUUAAUACUUGUUUAUAUUUGGUGAAAUGUAGGACGACAUGGCAUAUAUGGAAUCUGUGAUCUGGAUUUUCCAUCAGAUGAUAGAGAUGAAAGCCUCUGCUCUCUUGCCAAAAGUUCUCGGCUCCCUCAAGCAAAUCAAAUCGCAAUGCCCAGUUCGAUCUGAUCUUGAUGACAUUAAGCGAAAGGUCCUUGAAAUCGAGCUCGAGUUCAAGGACACUGGUUUGACAGAUGAGGCAAAGUGGAGAUUGCUCGAAUUAGAAGAGGAGUUUAAGAGAUUGGAUAAAAAAUGGAUGAAGGUAUGGUAUUGUUUACAAAUUUAAUUACCACAUUUAGUUUCAUGAUGUAACAUAUUAUUCUGACUUUUUAACUUGGUUUUUCAGGACUUGACAAAAGCUGUUAACCUUGAUGCAAUCUUCACUAAUAAUAUGGUAUGCACAUAAACGCUUCUUAUGAUUGAUAUUAACCUAGAUUAUUAUUCUUGAAUAAAAUGAACAUUUCUCAUUUAUAAAUCACAUUAUAAUUAUAUUUUUCUUUCCUCAUUCAUUAGACUUGUUUUUUAGAUAGUAAAAAUGAUAAAAAUAUCAUGGAGGGUUUUGUAUUAAAAAUCAGAUUACUUUUUGUCUCCUCUAAAAACAAAUGGACAGUUAGUCUUUAUAUGUAAUAUCAGAGCAAAUGGCUCCAUCUAUUACAAAUUUUAUUAAUUUCUACUGUUAAAAUCUAGUCAUUAUACCUUAGCAUGAGGUAUAUGUAACACGUUACAUAUACAUGUUUGGUUAUUCUGUUAUCCACAUCAAUUUUUAACUAUAGAAAUAGACUAUAAUUUUAACAGAAAAGCUUAGCUUGCUUUUUUUUUUUUAUUAAAUGAGUAAAAUAUAAUCUAACUUAUAAUACAAAAGUCUCUAUAAUAUUUUUACUUAGAAAAAAAGGGUCAUUUUCAAUUUUUUUCUAUGCAUUUAGAGGAAUCCUUGGUGAUCAUAUGUGAUACCUACUACAUUUGAAUAUGUGUUUCUACAUUAAUCUUUUAAAAAUCAAUUUACAAUUGCAAUAUCUUUCCUCACGCACCCGACCACUUUAAGCUAUAUAUUUUAGUAAGAAUUUUUAAAAUUUUUUUUCAUGUAUUUAGGUGAACCUUGGACGGUCAUAUUCCAUGCCCAUAUCUGAAUAUAUGUGUAACAUGGACAUUUCAAGCAAAAUGAUAAUAAUACAUGUGGUUGAAUCUUUCUAAGCAUAUGAUAUAUUAGAAGCUAUAAACUUGAGAAUGAAAAAAAGUGCAUAUCUUACUUUAUUAAUUUGUUCACCGUCCAUUUCUCUUGUAUCUCGUCUUUUUUAUUUUUAUUUUUGCAGUAUAUCCAAUUAAUUCUUAAACUUGCCCCUGUUUGAAUCUCUUCUUGAUCAUUAAGUUUUAUUUCUUUUAAAUUUCAGUAUUUCAGCGUGGAGACACUAAGGAAAGAGGUACGGUGUAUCUAGAUCUAUAAAUAAGUUGCAUUAUCUAUCCAAGUCCAAAGACUCAUUUCAAAAAUGGGAAGGUUUGGACAAAAAUAUUAGGUCGAAAAAUGAGUUUGAGCAAAAAAAAUUAGGCUCAUUUUAAAAAUGGGUCGAGCUCGGGCUUGAACAUUUAAGGCCGAAGCUUGUUUUUAAAUUUGUAAUAUUUUAUUAUAUUAUAAAAUUUAUAAUGUAAAUAUUAAAAAAAAUUUAAGAUAACUAUUAAAAUGAGCUUGGAUUAGCUGUUUAGAAAUAAUGACAGCCUCACCUAAAUUUUUAGGUUUAUAUUUCGCAUUGGACCAAUUUUAAACAAGCAUAAUACGUAUUAAUAACAUGUUUAAAUUCAAUUCAGCCCAUAAACACUUCUAUAUAUACCUAUUCGGAAACUCAAUUUUCGAAACAUGAAUUUUGGUUUGUAACCUUUACUACAUAAAUGUAAUAUUUAUGAUUAUUUUAAAAAUAAUAAUGAGAACUAAUUUAUAUUUAUAGUAAAUGAAAUACAAAUCUAAAUCUUUAAAAUUCACGUUUCCAUAAAGUAACUUUACAUUGAAAUUUUAAUUUAUUGUCUAUAUUUGUUGUUGUUGUAGCUUCUUUCAGCAUGUCCAUGGAUUGAUAUGAAGAAGUUACUGUAAAUAAUGAUCUUUAUGCUGUUGAUUAAGAUCAUGGAAGUUUGGCAGCUUGUGAAGGAUAACUUAUCAUUAUUAUCACUCAUCUUUUGUUAUCUUUUAGAACACAAUCAACUUUGAAGGAUUGUUUGAUAUAUUUUUAAUCUUCUCUAUGACACUCUAUGGUUUUAACUUUGUGGAAUUAAAAUCUAAUAAAAAAAUCUGAAGAAUUUAUGAGUAAGGGCAGCCAUGGAAAUUUUCUAUUUAAAUCUUUUAUUUACUUUUUAAAAUUUUAAAUUAAAAAAAUAAAAUUAGACUUUAGUUAUCUUUAAAAUUAAUAAAAAUUUAAUUUAAUUUUUUAAAAUAGUAAAAAUUAUAAUUUAAUUUCGACUUUUCCUAAAAAAAAUUCCUAAGUUAACUGUACAAUUGAGCUUAAUUGAGUUACAUGAAGUUUAGUAUCAACUUAUCUAUAUUGAGCUGGAUUCAAGAUUGAAAUUAAAUUAUGCCCAUUCAUUAUAAUUAAAAAGAAUCAAAUGUAGACAUUAAAACCUUUUUUAAUUCUUUUACUUCUAUUUAAAACAUUUUUAAACAAAUAAAUUUUUGUCUUAUAGUCAAAUUUUAAUUUAAAAUUUAUUUGUAUGUGGAUAAUGUCAUGCCUUGGAGUUUGGACUAAGGUUUGACAUACGUGUCACAUGUAAGAAUGCUAUCGAUUGAUUUGGUUUUUCUAUUUGUUAUAUUAAUUUUGAGUUUUAGAAUUUUAAAUCCAUUUUAACAAAAUGAGUUUUAUUUUAUAAUUUUUGAAUAUUAUUUGACAAGUUUUAAAAUAUUUUAUAAAUAUUUUUAAAAAACAAAUAACUUUUUAAGAAGCAUUAGAUAAUUUUUACUAUUUUAAAUAUAAAAUAUUUUUAUAUCAUAAAAAUUAAAAUUAAUUAUUAAAUAGAAAAAUAAAAUUCGGAUUAAUUUCGUGUAAUCGUGUUUUCUAAACAUACAUUAUAUAAAUCGUGUUUUCUAAACAUACAUUAUAUAAAUCGUGUUUUUUAUUUUGUGAAUUUUCUUGCUUAGUCCUAUACAUAUGUAAGAAAAAAAAUUACAACCAAGCAACAUAAAAGCAUGAUUAAUAUGUUUUAAAAUCGAAAAAUUAGACUUUAAUACCAUUAAAUUUGUCACGUCUCGAGUCGAGACAUAAUAAACGCAAGAGAUAAAUAAAAUAAAAGUUCAUGCAAAAGUUAUCACUUAAAUAUUACAACAAUUACAAAUAUCCAAAGAUGUUGGCCUCUAACUUUUAUUCAUCUUUUAUCAUUUUGAAUCUUAUUCUUUUUGAGGUUAUUUUAGCCGUAAUCUUUAAAAUCUAAUUAAUUUAUUUGCUCUUGGAUAAUAAAAAAUUAAUUGAAAUGUUAAAAUUUUAAUGGUAUUGAUGUGGUAACUCAUGCUGCAUUUUACGUAUAUUUCACUAUUAACAUUGAUAAAAAUUUUAAAAAAUUUUAUCAACUUUUUUGAAUUUUCAUAAAUUAAUAAUUUCUAAUAUCACAUAUGAUUUUAUACGUUUAAUAUUUAAUUAAUAUUUUAAAUAUAAUUUUUUAUUACAAUAAUUAGUAUUAAAAUUUAUUAAUUUACUAAUAGAAAAUUUAAAGUAUUUUUAUUGUAUUUAAAAUUUUAAAGUAACAUUAUUCCACACUUAACCGCACUCGUCCGCUCGGCUCACUUCCGCGCGGUCCUACCUAGUCUCCGCACUUUCAAAUGUACAUACCUUGCAGUUUCAGUCCUCCAUAGUCUUUGGUCUAUACAAUUAAGGCUUUAAUUUCAGUUUUAUUUAUUCAAUUUAAUUCCUAAUAUUAUUAUUAUUUAUUUUAGUUAUUUUUCUUAAUUAAUUAUUUACUGUGAUUUAAAAACUUUUAUUUGCAUUCUUGACAUCACAAUGUCUGACCGAUACCACAAUAUCUCUAUAUUAUUUUGAACUUUUUUUAACCUUUCAAAGUCCGUUUUAGUCUCGAAUGCCUGAAAUUAAUUUUUUAAAUGAUUUCAAUACGAUAUUAAAGUCCUAAAAUUGAAUCUAUCUACUUCCUAAAAUUUUAUAAAACUUAAUCUAAUUUCUUACUGAAUGGUCCUACACAGUUUUGAGCUUUUUCAAAGUCUCGAGACCCGAUACGAGUUAUGAACACCUUUAACUCACCUCAAACUGUUUUUAAAUGAUUUUAAAUUAUUUAUAAAACCAUCCAAAAAUCCAAACUGGAUUUAACGAUUUAAGAAAAAUAUUUUUUAAAUUACAACUCCUCAAUGAUUUUGAGGAUUUUGACUCGUAUAUGUUCUGGUAGGUAGUACAUUUUGUAGUAUCUCAAAGUUUAAAAAUGAAGUAUAGACUAAAUUUUAAAUUUUAAAAAGUAAAGGGAUGUUAAUGGUAAUUUUAUUAACCACAAGUCAAAUGUGACACUUCACUGGUGUUCUUUCUCUCGAUCCAACUUUUUAAUCGAGUUGCUUUCGACCUUAAGCCUCUAUUUAAAUGAGAACUUCCUCUCUAAUGGAUUUCAUCAUUUCUUCACCAUUAACGCAGCAGCAGCUCCUUCUCUUCUCUUCUCCACACUACAUCAAAGCAGUGAGUUGCUAUUUCAAUUCACUUAACUCAUUUCCCCUCACUUUCUGUACAUGUAUUGCUUUGAUUUUUGCUAAAUUUAUAAUUUCAUAUCCGUUAAGUUUUGUUAGUUUAUGAUUUUGACUUGCUUGCUUGUUUCUAUUUUCGUUCUGAAUUAGGAAAAUCUUUUGAUUGUUUUAGAUUCAGAAAUUUGAUUUGAGUUAAAAUUUUCAGAUCCGUGUAAGAUGACGAAUUGGUCUAGUCUCAGUGGCCAUAGGGAUAUCAUUAUGAUACCCACACCUGGAGCGCCAAAUGGUGCUGAUGGACAACCAUCGGCCGAUCAUUAUCAGGUGAAUUCCUCGAGCUCGAUGUUGACCGGAGGAAAGAAAAGAAAGCAGAAACCUGAAGGAAAAGGUCAAGGCAUCAAGAAACAGUGCCUGGCCCGGGUAACCGGUGAAGAAGAGAGUGUGGGAGAGCUUACUGUACAGCAUAGUGGGAAAAUCUACACUGACCAAAUCAACAGAAGGAUAUGUAAAGUAAAUUCUCUUAACUGAACUUAGCCAUUCACAUCAACUGAAGCAAAAACCAUGAGAAAGAUUUUCUCUGUCUCUUACUUUGACACUUGCUUUGUGUGUAUUUGGUGGCAUAAAGGUGAAGGAAAAACUUUUGGAUUGGCUAAGGAACUGUCCAGAAGUUAUAUCCAUCAUCAAUCAAAUUGAAGAGAAAUGGCCACUGCUAUCUGAACUCCAAAAAAUUAAGGAGAAAAAUAGUGAAAUCCAAACCGAGUUCAAGGCAGGCCGUUUAAAAGAGGAUGGGGCGAUGCAGAAAAUGGACGAACUAAAAGAGAGGCUCAAUCGUGUAGAUGGACAACUACAGGUGUGCUAAUGUUUACCAAUCGAAUUACUGAGUUUGGUUUCAUGAUCUAAUUGUCCAAUUUAACUUUGGUUUUUCAGGAGUUCCACAAAGCAAACAACGUUGAGGUAAGCACAGUAACAAUAUAAUUACUAAGUUCGAUAUCCUCUUGAUCUAACGAUUUAACUUGGUUUUUCAGGAGUUGAACAAAGUAAAGAAACUUGAGACAAUGUUCCUUAAAAAUGAGGUAAGCACAUUUCUUAUCAUUGAUAUUAACUAAUAUAGUAGGGCAUAGUACCAAUAAAGUCCCAUGUCCUUAUCCACUAAACUUGUUUUUAGACAUAGCAAAAAGUAUUUUUCUUCAGCUAUUUGUUUGGAUUCGGGUUUAUGCAUUGGAUACAUAUUUGUGUAUUUGAAAAUAUACCUAUAUUCAAAUAUAUGUUGGUAUGUUCCUCAUUUAUAAAUCCAAUUACAAUGUAAUAUGUUUCUUCAUCUACUACACUUCAUUUCUAAAUUUAGUAAAAUGUCAUUUUCAGUUAUAUUAAUUGGAUUCGAGUAUGAAUAUUUUUAUAUGGAUUCACAAUUUUAUAGGUUCACGUUUAAUCUUGACAUAUUUAAAUUUUUUUUAAAUCAUAUAUUUUAGAAAAUAUCGAACGUUAUAUUUUAAACUAAUAUUCAUAAAUAUGCCCUUAUUUGCAUCAUAUGUUGAAUCAUAUUUCUUGAUGAAUUUGUUGUCUACCCAUAUCUUCCUUUUUCAGGUCUCAAUAUCUAAAGUUAUCUUAGACUUGCCCUUAUUUGCAUCUUUAAUAAUUUGUUUAUAUUUCUCCUAAAUUUCAGGAAUAUGACGUGGAAACUCUUGAAAAAGAGGUAUGGCAUAUAUAUAUAUAUAUAUAUAUAUAAAUGAAAUUGGUAGGUGAUGAUCGGUAGAUUUGAAAACUUGAAUUUCGAAAAUAGCAUUAGACAUAAAUAUUAUUUAUCAAAUGAUUUAAUACAUAAUUUGAUAUUUAAGUUUAAUAUUUUUUUCUAAUAUUUAUGUGUUAAGUAUGGAGUUUGUACACACUAAUAUAAAUUUAAUUAUUUCUCAAAUCCAUAAUUUGAAAUUAUCGGAUGGUUGUUUAGUAAAUAAUCUAAAAAUUCAUGUUUUUUUUCAAAGUACAUAAUCCCACAUUGAAUCUCAGUUGAUUUCUAUAUAAUCAUAUACACAACAAUUUCGUGACAAUUAAUGUAGUAAAUGAAAUUUGAAAUUUUGACUUGUUUUCCAUGUUUGUUGUUUUAGUUUUUUUCUGCAGUGCCAAGUACGCAAGGAGUUGCUGCAACUGGUGGUCAUGAAAGUUUGUCAACUUUUGGUGGUAUGGAUAUCCCAAUUUGUGGCAUCGAACAAAAGUCCCCAUGGCAUACCACUGGGGAACACUAUUACCAGGGAAUGCUUGAACAGGGUGGGAGUGAGGCGUCUGAAGCACAAUACAACACAAACACACCACCAUUGUCGCACAGUGAUAAUCAGAUGAACUUAAUGCUCAGUGGGAGCAACAAAAGAGAUGGGGUUUCAGAAGCUGGAGUACAAGUUACUGAAAUGAAUGAUGUUACUAUUCCUGUUGAUCAAGACCACGAAAGUUUGCUGGCUAGGGAGAUGUUGAAGCGUAAUUAUAGUUCCUGGCUAUCCGGACUUUUUAACAAGGACAACAACAGUGUGGAAGUUGCACACUUCCAUGGUUUACAAGAAGCAUUGGACGAAACUCGUUAUGGGGAAACACCAGACUACCUCAAACGUAUCGCAACCCUAAUCGAAGUGGAUCGUGGAAAAGUUACUAAGUUUGGCCAUAAAAAUAUUGAAGUGCUGGUUUGUGCCGCAUUCAAAGAGAUGGAAGACUGGCGUACACCUAAGGAUUCCGGCUGUAACCAGUUGAAAA